UCACAGGCAUUGUACUUAAUAUGUCCAAACUUCCAAAGUUGGAAUUGGAACCGACAGCCUUGAUGAAGAUGCGAAAGCUUAGAUUUCUCAAAUUCUAUCAUUCUUGUGGAAGAAUCUUACUUUCUAAAGGGCUUCUAUCAUUUCCUGAGGAGCUAAGGUACCUUUUCUGGGAGGGAUACCCUUUGAGAUCUUUGCCCACCAAGUUUGAUCUAAGGUACCUAGUUGAACUUGAUAUGAGCAAGAGCCAUCUUGAACAACUCUGGGAGGGAAAACAGGUACUCUUUUUUCUUUUGAUAUAAAUCUAUGGUGUUUUGUAGAUUUAUGCAAGCAUGUUUCCAUUUCCAUUAUGCAUAAUGAAUGAUAAAAUUUUUUUAAUAUCUUUAAUAUGUAUGCUUAAAUCAAUAAUUAAAUAAUUGGUUGACCAAAUUCAAUGAUAAAAAAUUCUAUUUCUAUAAUAACAUAUGGAAAUUUCUUAAUCAAAAGAUAAAAAACUAUAAAAUAGUAAUAGAUAAUGUAUUAUUUAAUAUAUCAUUGAAAAAUGUUGAAAUAGAGAAAGAUAAAAAUAAACUCUUUGUUUAGAUUAAAUAUAUGUAAUAAACAUGAUUAGAUUUAUAAUAAAUGGUUUUUCCAAAAGUUAAUAUAUGCAAUAAUUGCUGAUUAAGAAAGAACAAAUAUAAUUAGAGUCUUCUAUUCAGAUUAUUAUUUUGUUCAAAUUUAGUUGUUGAAUUUAAUAUUUUUAUUUAAACUAUUUCAAAUAUCAAUUAACUUUCGGUUUAAUUUAUCAACAUUCUAAACUAUAUGAAAAGUCAAUAAUGUUAAAGAAACAACUUACGAUACACAAACUGUAAUUUAUUAAUAACAUUCGAUAAUUUUUUUUAACUAAAAAUAUAAUUAUAAAAUAAUAACAAUAAAAUAAUAAUUAAUUUAUAAUUUAAACGCAUAUAGACAAAUAAUGAGCCUACCGAGGGAACACCAUAAUUUAAACUUCCAUGUCAAAUUGAGCUUGAAUUUUAAAAGGAAAACAAAAUUUGAGCGAUGAGUUGGAAUGGAGCUCAAACUUGUUGGUUCCACUACUCAAAUAUACCAUUUUGAAGAUAGUUUAAUGUUUGGUUGCACUUUUUUUAUAUUGUGGUCACAUCUGUAGCAUUAUAGUUCUUCAAUGUACACAAAUUUAUCAAACACUAUGUUCUGAUGCAUGCAGGAUUUAGUAAAUUUGAAGGUUAUCACACUCAGAUAUUCCUGGAACCUUGUAAGAAUCCCGGACCUCUCAAAUGCCAGAAAUCUUGAAGUGAUAAACCUUUCCGGGUGUUCUAACUUGCGUGAGCUUCCUUCAUCCCUUCAACAUCUUGAGAAGCUAACUAUUUUGUAUUUCUGCGAUUGCGAAAAUCUUAGAUCUCUGCCUAGCUUUUACAAAGCCACAGCCCUCACCAACCUUCAUCUUAGUGGCUGCUCAAAUCUGUGUUGUUUUCCAGAAAUCAUGGGCACCAUGGAGGAACUAUAUGAACUUGAUUUAAGCGAAACGGCUUUGAAAGAAUUACCAUCCUCAAUUGGCAAUCUUACUGGUCUUUACUAUUGGAGAAUGACCAACUGUAAAAACCUUGUUUGCCUUCCUGAUAGCUUUUAUAAAUUGAAAUCUCUUAAGACAUUCGAUCUUGAAGGUUGCUCGAGAUUGGAGAUUUUCCCAGAAGUCAUGGACACCAUGAAGGAACUGUAUGAACUUGAUUUAAGUGGAACAGCUUUGAAGGAAUUAUCAUCCUCAUUUGAAAAUCUUAUUGGUCUUAAGAAAUUGAGACUUAAAAACUGUGAAAACCUUGUCUGCCUUCCUGACAACUUUUAUAAAUUGAAAUCUCUUAAGACACUCGAUCUUGAAGGUUGCUCGAGAUUGGAGAUUUUCCCAGAAGUCAUGGACAACAUGGAGGAACUGGAUGAACUUGAUUUAAGAGGAACGGCUUUGAAGGAAUUACCAUUCUCAAUUGGCAAUCUUAUUGGUAUUAAGUAUUUGAGAAUGAAAAACUGUAAAAACCUUGUUUGCCUUCCUGACAGUUUUUAUAAAUUAAAAUCUCUUAAGACAUUCGGUCUUGAAGGUUGCUCGAGAUUAGAGAUUUUCCCAGAAGUCAUGGACACCAUGGACGAACUGUAUGAACUUAGUUUAAGUGGAACGGCUUUGAAGGAAUUACCACUCUCAAUUGGCAAUCUUAUUGGUCUUGAGUAUUUGGUAAUGAAAAACUGUAAAAACCUUGUUUGCCUUCCUGAUAGUUUUUAUAAAUUGAAAUCUCUUAAGACAUUCAAUCUUGAAGGUUGCUUGAGAUUGGAGAUUUUCCCAGAAGUCAUGGACACCAUGAAGAGGUUGACGGGUCUUGGUUUAAGCUAUACGGCUUUGAAGGAAUUACCAUCCUCAAUUGGCAAUCUUAUUGGUCUUAAGGUUUUGAGAAUGCAAUACUGUAGAAACCUUGUUUGCCUUCCUGACAGCUUUUAUAAAUUGAAAGCUCUUAAGACAUUCAAUCUUGAAGGUUGCUCGAGAUUGGAGAUUUUCCCAGAAGUCAUGGACACUAUGAAGGAACUGUAUGAACUUGAUUUAAGCAGAACGGCUUUGAAGGAAUUACCAUCCUCAGUUGGCAAUCUUAUUGGUAUUAAGUAUUUGAGAAUGGAAAAUUGUAAAAACCUUGUUUGCCUUCCUGACAGCUUUUAUAAAUUGAAAGCUCUUAAGACAUUCGAUCUUGAAGGUUGUUCGAGAUUAGAGAUUUUCCCAGAAGUCAUGGACACUAUGAAGGAACUGUAUGAACUUGAUUUAAGCAGAACGGCUUUGAAGGAAUUACCAUCCUCAGUUGGCAAUCUUAUUGGUCUUAAGUAUUUGAGAAUGGAAAAUUGUAAAAACCUUGUUUGCCUUCCUGACAGCUUUUAUAAAUUGAAAUCUCUUAAGAGUUUAUAUCUUGAAGGUUGCUCGAGAUUGGAGAUUUUCCCAGAAGUCAUGGACACCAUGGAGGGACUGUAUAAACUUGAUUUAAGUGGAACAGCUUUGAAGGAAUUACCAUCCUCAAUUGAUAAUCUUAUUGGUCUUCAAUAUUUGAGCUUGAAGGACUGUAACAACCUUGUUUGCCUUCCUGACAGCUUUUAUAAAUUGAAAUCUCUUCUGAUAUUCAAUCUUGAAGGUUCAUUGAGAUUGGAGAUUUUUCGAGAAGUCAUGGACAUCGUGGAGAGGUUGAAGUUGCUUGAUUUAAACGGAACGGCUUUGAAGGAAUUACCAUCCUCAAUUGACAAUCUUAUUGGUCUUAAGUAUUUGGAAAUGAAAAACUGUAAAAACCUUGUUUGCCUUCCUGACAGCUUUUAUAAGUUGAAAUCUCUUGAGGGAUUCUAUCUUAAAGGUUUCUCGAGAUUGGAGAUUUUUUCAGAAGUCAUGGACACCAUGGAGAGGUUGACGGUUCUUGGUUUAAGUGGAACAGCUUUGAACGAAUUACCAUCCUCAAUUGGCAAUCUUAUUGGUCUUAAAUAUUUGAGAAUGAAAAACUGUAAAAACCUUGUUUGCCUUCCUGACAGCUUUUAUAAAUUGAAAUCUCUUAAGACAUUUGAUCUUGAAGGUUGCUCGAGACUGGAGAUUUUUCCAGAAGUCAUGGACACCAUGGAGGAACUGUAUGAACUUGAUUUAAGUAGAACGGCUUUGAAGGGAUUACCAUCCUCAAUUGGCAAUCUUAUUGGUCUUAAGGGUUUGAGAUUGAAAAACUGUAAAAGCCUUAUUUGCAUUCCUGACAGCUUUUAUAAAUUGAAAUCCCUUAAAGACAUUCCAUCUUUGUGGUUGCUCGAGAUUGGAGAUUUUCCCAGAAGUCAUGGACACCAUGGAGGAACUGUAUAAACUUGAUUUAAGCGGAACGGCUUUGAAGGAAUUACCAUCCUCAAUUGGCAAUCUUAUUGGUCUUGAAUAUUUGAGAAUGAAAAACUGUAAAAGCCUUGUUUGCCUUCCUGACAACUUUUAUAAUUUGAAAUCUCUUGAGAUAUUCGAUCUUGAAGGUUGCUCGAGAUUGGAGAUUUUCCCAGAAGUCAUGGACACCAUAGAGGAACUGUAUGAACUUGAUUUAAGCGGAACGGCUUUGAAGGAAUUACCAUCCUCAAUUGACAAUCUUAUUGGUCUUCAGUAUUUGAGAAUGAAAAACUGUAACAACCUUGUUUGCCUUCCUGACAGCUUUUAUAAAUUGAAAUCUCUUAAGACAUUCGAUCUUGAAGGUUGCUCGAGAUUGGAGAUUUUCCCAGAAGUCAUGGACACCAUGGAGGAACUGUAUAAACUUGAUUUAAGCGGAACACCUUUGAAGGAAUUACCAUCCUCAUUUGACAAUCUUAUUGGUCUUAAGAAAUUGAGACUUAAAAAUUGUGAAAAACUUGUCUGCCUUCCUGACAGCUUUUAUAAAUUGAAAUCUCUUAAGACGUUCGAUCUUGAAGGUUGUUUGAGAUUGGAGAUUUUCUUAGAAAUCAUGGACACCAUGGAGAGGUUGACGGUUCUUGAUUUAAGUGAAGCGGCUUUGAAGGAAUUACCAUCCUCAAUUGACAACCUUAUUGGUAUUAAGUAUUUGAGAAUGAAAAACUGUAAAAAUCUUGUUUGCCUUCCUGACAGCUUUUAUAAAUUGAAAUCUCUUAAGAGGUUCGAUCUUGAAGGUAGCUUGAGAUUGGAGAUUUUCCCAGAAGUCAUGGACACUAUGGAGGAACUGUAUGAACUUGAUUUAAGCGGAAUAGCUUUGAAGGAAUUACCAUCCUCAAUUGACAAUCUUAUUGGUCUUCAGUAUUUGAGAAUGAAAAAUUGUAACAACCUUGUUUGCCUUCCUGACAGCUUUUAUAAAUUGAAAUCUCUUAAGACAUUCGAUCUUGAAGGUUGCUCGAGAUUGGAGAUUUUCCCAGAAGUCAUGGACACUAUGGAGGAACUGUAUGAACUCGAUUUAAGAGGAAUCGCUUUGAAGGAAUUACCAUCCUCAAUUGACAAUCUUAUUGGUCUUCAGUAUUUGAGCUUGAAGGACUGUGAAAACCUUGUUUGCCUUCCUGACAGUUUUUAUAAAUUGAAAUCUCUUGAGACAUUCGAUCUUGAAGGUUGCUCGAGAUUGGAGAUUUUCCCAGAAGUCAUGGACACCAUGGAAGAACUGUAUGAACUUGAUUUAAGUAGAACGGCUUUGAAGGAAUUACCAUCAUCAGUUGGCAAUCUUAUUGGUCUUGAGUAUUUGAGAAUGAAAAACUGUAAAAACCUUGUUUGCCUUCCUGAUAGCUUUUAUAAAUUGAAAUCUCUUAAGACAUUCGAUCUUGAAGGUUGCUCGAGAUUGGAGAUUUUCCCAGAAGUCAUGGACACCAUGGAGGAACUGUAUGAACUUGAUUUAAGCAGAACGAGUUUGAAGGAAUUACCAUCCUCAAUUGGCAAUCUUAUUGGUCUUAAGGGUUUGAGAUUGAAAUACUGUGAAAACUUUAUUUGCCUUCCUGACAACCUUUAUAAAUUGAAAUCUCUUAUGACAUUCCACCUUUGUGGUUGCUCGAGAUUGGAGAUUUUCCCAGAAGUUAUGGACACCAUGGGGGAACUGUAUGACCUUGAUUUAAGCGGAACGGCAUUGAAGGAAUUACCAUCCUCAAUUGGCAAUCUUAUUAAGUAUUUGAGAAUGAAAAACUGUAAAAACCUUGUUUGCCUUCGUGACGGUUUUUAUAAAUUGAAAUCUCUUAAGACAUUCAAUGUUGAAGGUUGCUCGAGAUUGGAGAUUUUCCCAGAAGUCAUGAACACCAUGGAGGAACUGUAUGAACUUGAUUUAAGCGGAAUGGCUUUGAAGGAAUUACCGUCCUCAAUUGACAAUCUUAUUGGUCUUAAGGAAUUGAGAUUUAAAAACUGUGAAAACAUUGUCUGCCUUCCUGACAGCUUUUAUAAAUUUAAAUCUCUUUUAUGUCUUAGUCUUUGUGGUUGCUCAAAUCUAGUCGUAAAAAACUUGUUUACUUCGGUUGGAGGCAGACCAGUGAAUCAGAAAGAUCUCCAUGGGUUAUCCUCUUUGAAGAAGUUAGAUUUAUCUAAAAGCAAUCUUGAGAACUUCCCCACAACCAUCAAACAAUUUCCUUGCUUGGAAGAGUUAAUCAUGAGGAAAUGCAAGAGACUGAAAUCACUACCAGAGCUUCCACCAAGCCUGGUAUAUUUAGAUGCAGAUGACUGUACUUCAUUAGAGGAUGUCUCAAGCAUUAAGAAGCAUUUUGAGCAAGCACUGUUUUGUGAGGAUGGAUCGAAUCGAUGGUUGAAGUUGAUAUUUACCAAUUGCUUCCAACUGAAUGAGAACUGUACGGAGAAUGAUACUUCAGUGGAGGAAGUUUCAAGCAUUAAGAAGCUUUUGAAGCAAGCAGUGUUUUGUAAAUCCUUGGGUUGGCUAUUUACCAACUGCUUCCAACUGGAUCAGAAAGCUGUAAGCAGUGCUGAAACACCAAAGUUGGAGAUGCCAUUUGAGCAAUUGGUCACUGUACUAAAAGAUUAUCAUCAGGUCAGCUUCUUCUUCUUCUUCUUCUUCCUCUUCCAGAUAGCUAUAUGCCGAAUAAUCAAUCAUGUUUUUAAUAAUAAUCAAACAGGCACGCCCAGAAAGCAAAAAAGGAACUAGGAUUGUAACAUGCGUCCCUGGAAGUGAAAUCCCGGAAUGGUUUGAUUUCAAAAGCUUAGGAUCUUCCAUAAACAUCCAAUUGCCUUCAGAGUGGUGUUCUAAUAAUAGCAGGAUAAACUUUCCAUGUUUCGUUGCUUCCGUUGUUGUUUCAUUCCCAGACUCUUAUAAUGGUAAGGAAUUGGGCAUUAGAUGUAAAUGUCAUCUGAAAUCCUGUAAUGACGACUCUCAUUACCUGAGUUGUUAUGCCUCCAUUGGGUUUAAAAGCGGAUUGUCAGAUAAAUUGUUAGAUCACUUGUUCCUCUUAUAUGGUGGUGAAGAAGUUAGGGGGUUUGUUAAAAGUGAGGCAUCAAACGAGCGUUUUUACAAUGAGGCUUCCUUUAGUUUCUACCUUGAUGAUGGGGAGACUCUUCAUAAGUGGAUUUGGUCCGAAUGCAAGGUAAAACAGUGCGGGGUUCAUCUAUUGUUUGCAAAUUAACGCUUCGUUUGGUUCAAUGCAAUGGCAAAGCCAUUACAGGACGGUUCCAAUUUCCACAGUAAAGCAGAGGUUUGGUUCGUUGGAAUGCUUAAAAUGCCAAAUGGCGAUUACAGCUUCAUUGCGAAAAUCGUUGAAUAGCCAUUCAGGGGAGGAGGUGCCGAAUUGGCUAUUCCAACCUUUCCACCGAAUGACCUUCUUUUCCCUUCCAAAAACACCCUCAGACUGUAAUUUCUCAACGGUUUCACUUUUUAUUUUUCCUUAGCCAUCAACAAUCUCACGCUCAAAUCAACCUGAAAGGAAGCAAAUCAACUUGAAGGCCAAAGACCCACACUUAGUUUACCACUCCUAAGCGAUUCCAACCUAUCACUGGAAUCGCCUGGUGCUCAGUAAGGCCCUGCUUGUUUUGAUGGUAAGUUUUUUUUUUUUUUUCUCGAAUAGAGAAGUAAAUCAAUGGCUUAUGGUGGUAUUCAUUCAGGAAGUUAUCCAUUAUCUACAUGAUCCAAAAACAAGGUUGAUAAAUUGAAACUUUCAGGUUUCAUUUUCCUUUUCAAGGUUGCCAUCUUAUUUUACUUAACAUUUGUAAUUGAAAAAGGUUGAAUUUUUUUUCUAGGUUCAAAACGAAGUAGCUUUUUCAUUAGGUCAUGGGUUUUCAAUUUGCAGAACUCCCUAUGUUAAAUGCUCACAAAAGCUGGGUGAACAACCACUGGGCAUUUCCAGAGUUGUUGAGAAGUGGGUCUCCUUUAAAAGAUUGAGUUCAAUUCAUCAAAAUUUUAGGAGCCAUUUUAUUUUUUGCUAUAUAAAUUAUGGCUAUUGUUCCUUCUGCAACCAUGGAAGACUUUUGCUACUCAUCAAUAACACCAUUUACAGCUUGAACCAAACUUACUUUAUUCUAGGCAUCACUUUUGAUUGUAAUCAAUUUCUUUUUCUGGGCUUAAUUUAUAUGCAGUUUUAGUUGUAAUGAUUCUUAGGUUUGAUUGACUGUAUGAUUAAUUUGGUGCAGCGGAUACAAUAUGGCAAGACAAAGUCAGAUUGUAUCGCCAAAAAUGAUGGAAACUUUGUUCCCAGAAAAAGAAGAAGCAAGAAGAAAAAGGUGACAAUCUUGCGUUUUAGUUCUUUGAAUUGCUAUAUGCAUAAUGCAUAGUCCUUAUUGACUUAAAGAAAAUGGUUUCUCCUGUAUUUCAUUUUGUUAUCGUGUGAAUGUAAUUAUUGCAAUUAACGUGUUUAUAUUUUUCAUCAUUAGUCUGGUACCCUUUUGACCAUAAGAAAAACAGGGGUGUAACAGAAGAUAGUUUUUAAAUGCAUGGUGCCUUUUUGGUUAGAAGUUAGAACUUGUAUAUUUUAGUUUGCCUCUUUGGUUAGAAGUUAGAACUUGGAUGUUUUAGUUUUCUUUUUUUUUUUAAUUACACAUUUCUAUAUGACUACCUAUUUGUUAAUUUCUGUAGGAAUAAAUGCCUUCACUGAAACAUUGGGUUCUUGUUCAAUGGUGCUAUUCUGGGGCCAGAUAUUUUAACUUUUGGAAUAUUGUUUGUAUAGAAAACAGUCUGUCUAGAGUUAACUUUUUUUUUUGGGAAGGGGGCAGGGAACUUAAAUUUUGCGUCUUCCUCUGGUUUUCUAACGCUGAAAGAUUCAUUGAAUGAUUAUUUGUUGUGCUUCUACUGAUUCAACCUAUUUGUUCAAGAUGCUAUAAUUUAAGCUGUGUCAGAGAAAAAAAGUAUUUCAUUUAAGCUAUAGAGUUACUUUUGGAAUAUAAUGCAGUCUAUAUUUCAUUUAAGCUAUAUUUAUUCCUAGGUAGUCAUCCUUUGGUAUUUGAGGUUCUCAGCAAAGAGAGGCUUCGCAGUCUUUACAACUGUAAGAGAGGCAGAUAUCAUAAAUGACAACUCUUACAAAGCAAAUACCCUUUACUGGUAUGUGUAUUAUACUGUUAACUUUGUAAAAUAUGAAAGCAGUGACCCUAGAAUGCCCCACUUCCACUCUUUAGUUUAACCGAGCUAGCAUGUUUCAGUUGGAUAUAGUUACAGGUCGUUCAUUGCUGGUCUUUGAAUCCUGAACUUUUUCAAGUAUAUUAGUUGGAUAUGGUUUUCGAUGGUAAUGAUGAUGGGUUGUUCAUUGCUGUUCUUCCAAUCCUGAAUUUUUUGUUAUCACUUAUUAACCCUUUGGAAUGAUCAGCAUCGGAAGUCUUCGUCUCUUGCCAAAGACACAGAUGUAUGGGAUAUAGCUGCGUACAGUUGUUUACACCUAUGAAUUGAUGGUCUCACCGUCUAUGCUAAUUUAUGAAGUAAUAAGCUAGUUGUACUCCUAUUUCAAAUAAGUCGGACUCUGCUUUGACUCAGGAUAUAUAUUGGCUCCACUCAUAUGAACCUCUUUAUUUGCUCGAUUUUUCAUGUUAUAUUCACUGUUCAAACAUACGGCCUCUGAUGAUGCCUGCUAAAAUAUGUUAAUAAUAAUCGGUAUAUGAUGCUUUGGCAGGAUUGAUACUGGCGGGUGUAUUACUAACAAUGUUGAUACUGUGGUUACGGUACUUUUUUAUUGACUCUCAAGCACAUUUCAUUAGUCCAUCAUUAACCUAUUUCUUUCAUUUUAUUUUCUCCUUCUCGACUCACCAGAUCUUUCUCAGUUACAGGCAAACCAACCAACUCAAAUUGACCAUGCUCGAUGCAAUAAUGAAGUCAAUCCAGAGAGUUCAGUUCAGGCUGCCUAUUGUGAGGGAACAAAAGGUGGCGGUAACGAUUUUGUCAAGUGCUGCUACAACAAACGCAGGAGGAUAUCUGUGAAUAGGAGGUAAGGAUACCCACAGAUUCUGCCAUCAGAUGGGAGUUGUGCCAUGGUGAAACCGAAAUGGUGUUUUUCUUUUUUUGGAUGCUGUCAACUCAUGAACACAGCUGCAGGGCAUCUGAGUUUUCUUCAUGGAUGUGUAAAUUUCUUGCACAGAACAUCUCAAAAUCAGAUAAGUUGUGUUUAUAUCAAGUAUAAACUUGGGAAAUUAUACCUUAUAGGAUGAAGGAUGCAGAUCUCAUAUUGAUUACCCUUUUGUCCAUAAAUUCCCUUGUUUCAUGUUUUUUUUUAUGGGUUUGGCAAUUAAGAUAUAUCAUAAGUUCAACUGGAAGCUGCACUUCUCUCUCUGUCUCCAGGCUUCAAAAUUUACCAUAACUUCAUUUGAAGAAGUAAAAACAGGUAUGUUGACAUGAAUACCUUUUCAUUCAAGCGAAACAUAACUUCUCUCUUUCUACAAAUUUUAUUAACUAAUUAAUUUAAAAUCAAUUCCAAUACAUAAUAAUACAUUAAUCAGCCUUCAAUUGAAAAAGUUAGAAUAUAGGGACAUGCCAUUUUUUUAAUUGCUAUAAUAUAAUAAAUUUGGUCAUAACUUUUAUAUUUUAUAUCAAUUUCACCUUGAUUUUAUACAAAAAUUAUAAAAAAAUAUAAUAUAUACAGAAAAUUAUAAAUAUAGACAAAACUUUAAAUACAUAAAAAUACAUUGAAUUUAUUAAAAAUAAAAAUUUUAAAAAUUCCAAAAAUAUCUUCAAUAUCUACUUUGAACUCGAAUUAUUUUUAUUCAAAUUAUUUUUUAUGCAAAUUUUAAAGUUAUACAUUAACUUUGAUUCAAUGUACAAUCAUACACAUGUAAUUUGGGUUGUGGUUCGAAACUUUAAUUUUAAUUCGAUCAUGCAGAUUUGAAAUAAAUAUAUCAAUUUAUUUUUAUAUUGUAUAAUUAGGGGAAAGGUCUACUUACACAGUGUAAAAAACUAAAGUAAUCUUAUUAAACAAUAAUCAACUAUAUGCAAAAAUUCUGUUAAGGAUAUUUUGGUCAUUUAAGUCUUUUUUCUUAUACUAUUACAACAUUUAUUCCAUUUAACCAAACACAAAAAUGAUAUUACAGCUCUAUUCCAUUCUAUUUAACCAAACAACUGAAUUACUGAUUACAGCUCUAUUCCAUUACAACUCUAUUCUAUUACAGUCCUAUUCAAUUACAACCUUAUUCUACUACAAUGAACUAAACAUACCCUAAGGAUUCAAAGUAUAACCGCUGAAUGAUGCUUCAACCUCAUUUGGCUAUCUCAUCUGUAUUGAAUUUCAAACCCUAAAUAUGUUUAUUUUUCGCUCUAAAUUUUAUAUCUUCUUUUUUCAUUUCUAUCAUUGUUUAAACACAAAUAGAAAUUUAAUGCAUGUGUAAAUUGAUUUAAAUAUAAAUAACCUUAAUUAUUCAUUUAGCCUUUGAAUUUGUCACUUUUCUUCUAGUUGGUUUUUAUGGUUUUUUUAAUCCUAAGUUAGUACUGAAUUUUCAUUCUGUUGAGGGUUUUAGUUACUUUUUUAAAUCUUAAUUUUAUGAUUGUUCAAAAUUUUUUUCAUUUUAAAGCUUAAUUUUUUAAAAAAGUGGAAAAUAUUUUUAUUUAUUGUUGUAAUAGAAAUAAUGUUAAUGAAACUAAAAUUAUCAACUAUAAAAAGAUAAAAUUAUAAUCUCAUGAAUUUUAUCAUUUAAAAAAAAUAAGUUUCAAUAAAAGAAUAUAAGUAAUAACAUAAUCGAAAUUUUAGUUAACCAGGAAUAACCAAACACAUAAACUGAACAAACAAACCAUAAUCCUGUGGUUGAUAGAAAUAUAAUCCAAAAACAAUGUCCAAGUUCAUGAUUAAAGCUAUAUCGAAAUUGUUCACAACCAUAAAUUGUUCAAGUUACUACUAAUAUUAAAACAACCAAGCUAAUCUUGUGUAAAACUUUGAAUCCAAAAAAUAUAUAUAAAUUACAUAAUAAGGAUAAAUAUUAUAUAUUUAAAAAAAUGAAUUUACCUUUAAAAAUGGAUUUACAGCAAAUAUCAAUUGGAUUUAUAAAUUAAAAUUUUGAUUUAUUUUGUAAUUUUUUUAAAAAUUCAAUUAGUAAAUUUAAUCAAAAGAUUAUCUAUUUCUUUUGUUAUUAUAAAUUUAAUCUAAGAUCAACUCGUCAAAACUCAAUAUAGGACAAUCUUCAAUAAUUUUUCCUUUUUGUUCAAUAAAUAAAAGAAGUCAUAAUGAGUUAGAUUUAAAAAAUUAUGAUAUCAAUAUAUGUGAUAGAGUUUUUAGUAUAAAUAAUAUUAUUGAUUACAUUCACAUCAUAAAUCUACUUCAAAAUUAUCACUGAAUUUUAAAAAUUGUCAUUAGAUCACCAAACCGUUACAUGCUAUUAUUGGAGUAACAAGAGUUUGAUGUGACAUGUUAAUUUGCCAAGUACUAAUCAACAGAUUUUUUUUUUAGGGUAAAUUAUAAAAAUAGUCACUUUUAUUUGCUUUAAAUUAUAAAUUAGUCACUUAUGUUUGAAAUGUUACAUUUUAGUCACUUACGUUAUCGUUUUGUUACGAAAUGAUCACUCUACCGUUAAACUCCAUUACUUCCCUAAUGACAGUCCAAAUGUGUUAUAAAUGCCAACUUAGUUGUCUUGCAUGGCAGUCCAAAUUAAAUUUAUUUAAUUAAAAGCAUAUUUUUAUCCCAGCAACUGAACAUUCAAAUUGAUAUUUAAAGCCCAUUUAGACUGCCACGUAGGACUAUUAUUAAAGAGGUAAUGGAGUUUAACAAUAGAGUAAUCACUUCGUUAAAAAAUAAUAACAUAAGUGACUAAAAUGUAACAUUUCAAACAUAAAUAAUUAAAAUAUAAUCCGAGACAAACAAAAACCUUUUGUUUUAUUUCUUUUAUCUUUCCUUUCUUUUCUUAUUUCCUUUUCAUUAUCUAAUUAUAUCCUUUCUUUAUUUUUCCUUUCUCUUUUAUAUUUACUUUAUAAUUUCCAUUUCAUUAUUCAAUUAAUUAUUUUAUUUCAUUUUCCUAUCUUCUUUUGAUUUCAUCAUUUCUCUUUUGUUUCAUGAAAAAGCUAAUACGUUUUAUUGACCAUUUCAAUGUCAUCUAUUAAUUGAAUCAAAAGCAAGAUCUUGGGUUUAUGUGUUUUCAUCGUCCAACGGGCAAAGAGCAUUUUAUUCUAAGUCUUUCAAUUUAUUUGGCUGAAUUUUCUUGCUCAUGUUCCCAUUUUAAAGCUAUAAGCCUUUGCAUUUGAUGUAAAGUAGCGGUAACUUUCUAAGAAAAAAAAAAGUAAAUGUUAAGCAUAAUUGACAUUAAAAACACUUGAUUUUCUUAUAAUCGAAUAAUCUUCUCAUCAGAUCUUGCGGAACACCAAUAUGUUUUCCUCUAACUCCUCUAUGGUGAAAGCAACGAGGUACGAUGUUUUUCUCAACUUUAGAGGCGAGGAUACUCGUCAUGGUUUCACAAGUCAUCUCUACAAAGAUUUGUGCCUAAAGAAGAUUGAAACUUUCAUAGACAAUGAGGAGCUUUUGAGAGGAGAUGAAAUUUCAGGGGCACUAUUAACAGUCAUCAAAGAAUCAAGGGUUUCAGUAAUUGUUUUCUCCAAAGACUACGUUUCUUCCAAAUGGUGCUUGGAGGAGCUGGUGAAGAUCAUGGACUACUCUUCUUGUUUUUUAUGGUGUAGAUCCCUCGAAUGUACGAAAACAAACAAGGAGUUUUGCAGAUGUAUUUGGUAAGCAUAAAGAAAUUUUAGAGCAUGAUGUUGAAAGGGUGAAGUGUUGAAGUUAAUUCUCAUGCAAGACAUGCAGCUCAUGCAGAUUAAUGCACAUACUUUGCCCGGGUAAAGUAUGUGCAAAAAUUCAUACACAUAAGUUACCCGGGUAAAAUACAUGGAACAGGAGAUGUUAAUACCACUGUUUGUUCUCUGUUACAUUUUGUUACUUUCUAACUAUGUUUUUUUCUUAAUUAGUUCAUUUUGAAUUAUGUUUAAAUGAAAAGUUGAUGUAACUUGAUAGUUAAAGAGCUGGUUACCAGCUUUGUUCAAGUGUACAAGUUUAGUUUUGUAAGUUCCAAUGUAAUAAGUGGAGUUAGGUAGUGUUUAGGUGAUAAAUUUGACCAGCCAAUGACUGGUAUAUGUAAUGGCUUUGAGCCAAUGUUUCAAAUGAAUGAAAUCAUCAGAUUUUCUUCCAUAUGCUCCAUCUUUCUUUGUCUUCUAAAAACUUCUAAGUUCUAUUCUUCAUUCUUGACAGUAGCUAAAAGCUUGAACUCCAAGCAUUUUUCCUUCAUAUUUUAUCCGGGUAUAAUACGUUGCUGUUAAAGCUUUUGUUGAAGCUCUUACUUUACCUGGUGAAAGUGCUCAAAUCCCCAACAAUUGGUAUCUAGAGCCUAAUUCUUAGUGGACCUGUUCUUGCAUACUUUCAAAAUGAUGGCUUCAUUAGGCUUCUCACCAGCUACACCUUCAGUUUUCAAUUGAGAAUGAUAUCACAUUUGGGUAGUCAAGAUGAGAACCUACCUCCAGGCAUUUGAUCUAUGGGAGGUAGUUAACUCAGAUGUUGAACCAGAACCAUUGAGAGCAAAUCCAACAGUGGCUCAAAUGAAGCAGUACUCUGAAGAAAAAAGUAAAAAGCACAAGGCUAUGUCAUGCAUUUAGAACUGUGUUUCUGAUGUUAUUUUCACCAGGAUCAUGGCUUGUGAGACUCCAAAGCAGGCCUGGGACAAGCUUAAGGAGGAGUUCCAAGGUACUGAGAGGACAAGGCAGCAGUAGUUGUUGAAUCUGAGAAGGGAGUUCGAGAACUUGAAGAUGAAGGAAGAAGAAACUGUCAAGAAGUAUUCUGACAGAAUCAUGGCUGUAGUUAACAGCAUAAGGCUCCUUGGUGAGCAAUUUGAUGAGGCAAGGAUUGUGGAGAAAGUGCUCUCUACCUUACCAGAAAGGUAUGAGGCAAAAAUAUCCUCUUUAGAGGACUCAAGAGACUUAACCAUCAUCACUUUAACAGAGCUGAUCAAUGCUCUGUAUGCACAAGAGCAAAGGAGGGCCAGCAGAUCGGAGGAGCACCAGGAGGGUGCUUUCCAAGCUAAGGCCAAAGCAGCCUCGAGCACCUCAGCCUAUAAAGGCAAAAAGAACUUGAGAAACAGGCCUAAGCCUGAUGCUGCAAGAGGAGAAGAUCGACUCUGCAGAUUUUGUAAAAAACUUGGUCAUUUAGAGGCCAGAUGCUGGUUCAGGCCAAAUGCUGUGUGCCAACACUGCAAGAAGAAGGGCCAUGUUGAAAAAGUUUGUAAAGAGAAAGGAAGACCAAGGCAGAAUCAACAGUAGCCAAGGGCUGAAGCUCAGAUAGCUGAAGAUGGAAGUGACAAUGAAGAGCAGGUCUUUGCAGUCUCCUGCUCAGCUGCUCAGAAGAAAGUCUCAAAUGGUUGGCUCCUUGAUAGUGGCUGCACCAAUCAUAUGUCACUAGAUGCAGCUAUUUUCAAGUCAUUAGACAGAAGCUGCAAAACAAAAGUUAAAGUCGGCAAUGACCACUUUAUCAAGGCAGAAGGAAAGGGAGAUGUGGUUAUUCGCACUCCAACAGGUAACAAAAUCAUUUCAAAUGUUUUGUUAGUUCCUGAAAUUGACAGAAACCUGUUAAGUAUAGCUCAGUUAGUUGAAAAAGGCUAUACAGUGGUGUUCAAAUGAAAUGAAUGGUAGAUUAGUGAUCCAAGUGGAUCCAUGCUCAUGUUAGUAGCCAUGACAGAAAAGAGCUUUGUUGUGGACUGGAAUAAAGGCUUUGAUAAUGCCUAUGUUGUUUCUUCUGAAGACUCCAAGCUUUGGCACCAAAGGCUUGGGCAUGCCAACUUCAGAUCGAUAAUUCAGAUGAUAAGUGAAGACUUGGUUGAAAACUUCACCAACUCUGUUGAAGAAGAAGAGGUAUGUAAAGUCUGUCAAUUGGGAAAACAAGCAAGAUUGUCAUUUCCUACAAAUCAAGCAUGGAGAGCCUCUGAGAAGCUGCAGCUUGUACACACAGAUGUGUGUGGUCCUAUGAAGACUGAAUCUUUAAAUGGAAGCAGAUACUUUAUUUUAUUUAUUGAUGAUUACUCCAGGUAUUGUUGGGCAUACUUUCACCGGAGUAAGUAUGAAGUACUCUCAAUAUUCCAGAAAUAUAAAGUUGCAGCAGAAACUGAAACAGGCUGUAAACUCAAGACCCUUAGGUCUGAUAAUGGAACAGAGUAUACUUCAUCCCGGUUUAAUAUCUUCUGUGAUGAAGCUGGCAUUAGACACCAGCUCACCAACACUUAUACACCUCAACAAAAUGGUGUAAGUGAAAGGAAGAACAGGAGCUUGAUGAAUAUGGCCAGAUGCUUAUUGUUUGAGAAAAAUUUGUCUAAGACCAUGUGGGCUGAAGCUGUCAACAGUGCUGUCUACAUUCAGAAUAGGCUUCCAACCAAAGCACUUGCUCACAAGACACCUUUUGAAGCCUGGUUCAGGUUCAAGCCAUCAUUAGCUCAUAUAAAAGUCUUUGGUUGCCUAUGUUACAGCCAAAUACCAGCUGUAAAGAGGGAUAAGUUGUCCAAAAGCUAUUCCUGGUAUUUUAACUGGGUAUAGUAUGGUUAAGAAGGGCUACAGGAUUUUGGACCCUUUAACAAACAAAAUUCAUGUAAGUAGAGAUGUGAUCUUCGAUGAAAAAGGAUGCUGGAAUUGGGAAAAGAAUGAGCCAGAGGCUGUUUCUGAAGAGCUGAUGGCUGAUCAUGCUGAACCUAAUCAAGUUAGUCCUGAAAUGGACAUUGAUGACAUGCCAGUCAGAGGCACUAGACCUUUGGCUGAAAUUUAUGAAAGAGCACAAGUUGCCAUAGUGGAGCCAUGCAGUUUUGAAGAAGCUGAAGCUGAUAAAGGCUGGAAACAGGCAAUGGUUGAUGAAAUUGCCAUGAUUGAGAAGAACCAGACAUGGGAAUUGGUUCCUAGGCCAGACAACAGGAAUGUUAUUAGAGUAAAAUGGGUCUAUCGAGCCAAGCAGAAUGCAGAUGGGAGCCUAAACAAGCUCAAAGCCAGGCUAGUUGUGAAAGGCUUUAGCCAAAAGUAUGGCCUGGACUACAUGGAAACAUUUGCGCCAGUGGCCAGGCUAGACACCAUAAGGUUACUGGUUGCCUUGGCAGCUCAGAAGCAGUGGAAAAUCUACCAGCUUGAUGUGAAGUCUGCAUUUCUUAAUGGCUUCCUUGAAGAAGAGAUCUACAUUGAUCAGCCACAAGGAUUUGUUGUGUUUGGCAAAGAACAAAUGGUGUACAGGCUUAAGAAAGUAUUAUAUGGCCUAAAACAGGCUCCCAGAGCCUGGUAUGCUCGAAUUGACAGCUACUUGGUCAGUUUGGGAUUUAACAGAAGUGUUAAUGAGCCAACACUAUAUGUCAAGAAGAAUGAAGCUGAAAUACAACUUAUUGUAUCCUUCUAUGUCGAUGACCUUUUGGAGACUGGAGGAGAUCAAGAUAUGUUGGCUGAAUUCAAAGCCAAAAUGAUGGACAUGUUUGAAAUGUCUGACUUGGGGCUAAUGACAUACUUUUUGGGAAUGGAGGUGCGCCAAAUAGAAGGAAAAAUCUUCUUGGUACAGAGAACAUUUACCUUGAAGGUUUUGUCCAAGUUCUCGAUGGAGAAUUGUAAGCCAACAAGCACUCCUAUUGCUGUUGGAAUGAAGCUGUCAAGCCAAGGAGAUCAUGAACCAGUCAAUGAGUCUACUUACAGGAGCCUAGUUGGCUGCUUGUUAUAUUUGACAGCAACUAGGCCAGAUAUCUUGUUUGCUAUGAGUAUGUUAUCAAGGUUUGUGCAUUGCUGUAAUGUCCAACACUUUCAAGCAGCAAAGAGAGUGCUAAGGUACAUCAAAGGCACUCUUGACUAUGGUGUGUUAUUCAACAAAGCUGAAACCUUGAAGUUGAAAGGCUAUACCGAUAGUGACUGGGCUGGUUCAAGUGAUGAUAUAAAAAGCACAUCUGGAUAUGCUUUUACCCUUGGCUCAACCAUAUUUUGUUGGAGCUCAAAGAAACAAUCGAUUGUGGCUCAAUCAACAGCAGAAGCUGAAUAUGUUGCAGCUGCAAAUGCUGUAAAUCAAGCCAUAUGGCUGAGAAAAAUUCUAGCUGAUCUUAACCUACAUCAAAGGGAGGUAACAGAGAUCUUUUGUGACAACAAGUCUGCUAUUGCAAUUGCAAAGAAUCCUGUCUUCUAUGGCAAAACGAAGCACUUCAUCAUCAAGUUACAUGUGAUAAGGGAGAUAGAACAAGCUCAAGAGGUGGAGCUGAUUCAUUGCAAUUCAGAGGAGCAGGUUGCUGACAUUUUCACAAAGGCCCUUGGUGUGUCAAGGUUUAUAAAACUAAGAAAGCAGCUAGGUGUUACAAGCAUGGAAACUAAGGAGGAGUGUUGAAGUUAGUUCCCAUGCAAGACAUGCAGCUCAUGCAGAUUAAUGCACAUACUUUGCCCGGGUAAAGUAUGUGCAAAAAUUCAUACACAUAAGUUACCCGGGUAAAAUACAUGCAACAGAAGAUGUUAAUGCCACUGUUUGUUCUCUGUUACAUUUUGUUACUUUCUAACUAUGUUUUUUCUUAAUUAGUUCAUUUUGAAUUAUGUUUAAAUGACAAGUUGAUGUAACUUGAUAGUUAAAGAGCUGGUUACCAGCUUUGUUCAAGUGUACAAGUUUAGUUUUGUAAGUUCCAAUGUAAUAAGUGGAGUUAGGUAGUGUUUAGGUGAUGAAUUUGACCAGCUAAUGACUAGUAUAUAUAAUGGCUUUGAGCCAACGUUUCUUUUGAAUGAAAUCAUCAGAUUUUCUUCCAUAUGCUCCAUCUUUCUUUGCCUUCUAAAAACUUCUAAGUUCUGUUCUUCAUUCUUGACAGUAGCUAAAAGCUUGAACUCCGAGCAUUUUUCCUUCAUAUUUUAUCCGGGUAUAAUACGUUGCUAUUAAAGCUUUUGUUGAAGCUCUUACUUUACCAGGUGAAAGUGCUCAAAUCCCCAACAUGAAGUCCUGGAGAACUGCUUUGAUUGCUACUACUGCCAAUUUAUCCGGUCCUUGUUACAACUAGAAAUAAACAAAUGCUUAUACAGAAUGGCAUUGAUCUUAUUUAUGAAAUGGAGAAAUUUGAUGAAGAUGAAUCAGUUCAGCUAUUCUGUCAAUGUGCCUUCAAAAGCAAUUAUCCCACGAGAUAUCAGGUGGAGCUAUCGAAGAUGGUUUUAAGUGUUACAAAUGGAAACCCCUUGGUUAUAAAAGUUAUUGGAUCAUCACUAUUAGAAUUGACUAUUAGAAUUGAGUGACCUGAAUCCUUACUAAAAUAAAAUAAAGUGUAACGUAUAAUUUAACACAAAUAUUUAUUUACUUCAGUGGUUAAGUGUUAUAGGUAUGUGCAUGAGGUUUCAAGUUCAGUUCAAAUUUUACCUUUAGCAAAUUUAGGUUAUUUUUAGGUUAUCUACUUCAGUGGUUAAGUGUUAUAAGUAUACCUUUGUCAAAGUUCUAUGUUCGAAUUCUUGCAUGGGUAUGAAUUUUUGAUUUUUAGGUUAUCUACUUCGGUUAAGUGUUAUAUUUUUGUUAAGGUUCUAUGUUCGAAUUCUUGCAUGGGUAUGAAUUUUUGCGCAGUGGAAUGAUAAGAGUUCGGUGUUUCUAGGAUUCUGAGCUACAAAAAGGAUGGACAGGGCUCGGUUGGUACGGAAAACUCUGGUGAUGCUACAAAAGAUUGUUCUCCGACUGCUAAUAAACACUUUAAGCAGUUGUGUCUUGUAAGCGGUAAAAUAGAGUUUCCCCUCAAUUUUUUGGAUUCAUGUUCGUCCUAUUGAUGAUAAGCUUGCAAGAGGGUCAUCUUCAGGUCAGGAAAAAAAAGCACAAGAAAGUUAUGAUGGUUUAAGUUUUUAGAGUUUUCAGCAUCUGAUAGAUCAUUUAUGUUAUGUUGCAUGCUGUGGCAGGGGCCCCUGAGAAACAAAGUAUUGUGGACAGAAUGAGGACAAUAGCUUUGAAGCUUGAGUUUGGGAUAUCAAAGAACCAGAUCUAUGACACGUAGUGCCUCUCCUUAUAUAUAUAUUUUAGUUUUUCUAUACAUUUGAGUAUGAAUUCUCUUUCUCUCACUCACUCACAUUCACAAAACACCCACCAGCAUCUAUAUAAGCUCUCAACAUAGUCUCUCAUAUCUUGUUUAUCUGGCUUUUUACUGGUUUUGUAUUUGAAUUCUUAACUUUAUUAUGUGAUCUACUCUAAUGUACAGAACCAUAGCUCUGCAUUUCAGUGAUCCUUUCCAUGUGAGCACAAGAGUCGCCAAUCAAUGCAAUGAUAGUACUUUGCUUUUGCAGGUUGUAUGUCCUUGGUUUCAAACACAUUUGUGUAUGUAUGCUUCUUUUGGAACAUGUUAAUGAAGUGAACAUAAUUUAUAAAUAUAAGAGCUUAAACUCCUCAUGUCUUGAUUUUCUUAGAUAUUGGAGAUUGCAUUGAACAGUUUAUUAAGUGACUAUAAUUUAUAAAUAAUUUUAUUGAAAGUAGUAUUACUUUUGUCUGAUUUUGUCUGAUCUACUUUUGAUGCUUAUCUUCAGUUGUCAGAUGACAUGCUUGACCUUGAUGUAUAGCAUCCACAAAUGUGAUAAGCUUAUACCUUUUAAUGGCAUUACUCAACCAGUGACUAUACCACUUCAUAUGAAAUAAUCUGGCAGUGCAUGUUGAAUUAAAAAUUUAUUGUAUGUGGUAAAGUAGAUGUAUGUGCUGCACGUGAAUAGGAGAGGUUGUUUCAAUCUUACCAUUCAUGUUUUAUGCUGAAAACUACAUUCUCAUUCUUUUCUUUUAUGCUUUGCAAAAGUUUUUUCAUUAAUAAAAUAGAAAACCCCAGCAAUGUCUCUGGAGAAUACAAUGCUAAUGAAAGAAACGAAACAAUAGGAUCAUCACAUCAACCACACCAAUUUAUCUUCCGCCAAACAAUCACAAUUCUUACAUAUUUUGGCUCAUCAACCGGCAGAUCAUAUUUUGCAUGAAGCUCAUGUUGGUUAAUGUCAUUUCCAGGUAACUCUACACUCCCAAGCGAAUGCCACAUUGUCUGUUUACGAUGCUUGGCUUAACCUUCACGAUGGAUUUACACAUGCUGGACAAGGUAAUGGAAGACCUAUUUCUGCAUUCUUUCCACUCGUCAUAUCUCCAAGUUCAAGAGCUGGACUCCUAUUCUGUUUAUGCUUGGAGAAGAGAACUGCUGAAGGUAUCGACUUUUCCUUUUUUUAUCGUAUGAGGGUAUAUGGCUGUAGGCUUCUAUUUCUUUGACUCUUGUUUAUUCAAAUUAAAUUCAUCGAACUCUAUAUGUUAUACCCUCUCAGAGAAGCUGUACCCUCUCACAUUGUCUCAUGAAAAUCAAUCAAUCUCUUGCUUUACAGAUGAAAAUAAGGUACCACUAGAAAACAUAUUAAACAUAAGAUAUGAAAUUUCUGGUGACAGGACCAUUGGGGCACACCCACCUGUGGCUAUGAAAUCGAAUGAAAAUGAUGAGGAUACUAGUAAGAAUUUAGUCUUCAAGAGUGCUCUUUUUCUGCAGCAGCCUGUCCUUAGUCCAUGCCUGGCUGUAGGAUUUCUACCUCUUCCUUCCGAUAGUAUUCGAGUUGGGCAACUUGUUACCAGGAAAUGGAGGGUUGAAAGGUUGAAAGACAUUGAGGAGAAAAGAGUUCCUCAAAACAAUGUAAGUUAAAACAAUCUUAUCAUUCACCAAUUCAGUCGGGUAUAAGCAUGAACCCAUGCACCAGAAGUCGAGUUAAAUUUUGGCAUAUUACUAGUUAAAAAAGACCCACAUCACCCAAGGCUUAACAUAAUUGAUUCAUUUAGUCACACCUAAGAGGUUGCAUUUAACAGAUUUGGGGUUCGGAUCCUAACAACUGCAAUCCUUCCCUCUUUCCCCAGACUCUGGCCUGCUUUGUAGAAGGAAAAUUCUUAGAGAAGCUAUUAGUGAAUACUGUGCAACGCUAGAGAAGCUAUUAGUGAAUACUGUGCAACGCUUCUACUUUUUGUUUACAUUCAGCUACUACAAAUUAUGUUUUAUAAUGACAGGACAAGAUGUUAUAUGAAAUCAAUGCAAAUUCUGAUAAAUGGAUGAUUGCUGGGAGGAAAAGAGGGCAUGUUUCUCUUGACAUGAAGCAAGGUUUACGAACAACUUCCCUAUUUACCUUUUAAUACCGAUUCCUAUGCUUUGCAGUUAAGCAGAAAGCAUUAAUAUUUCAUUUCUGUUGCUUGAAAUUGUCAUUUCUUUCCAGGUUCAAGGAUAGUUAUUUCCAUAUUAUGCAUGCCCCUUGUUGCUGGAUACAUCCACCCUCCUCAUCUUGGGCUUCCGGGUAUCGAUGAAGUGAGUAUAAGCUGCAGUUGUGCCGGAUGUCACCUGGUUUGAGUCUUGCCUCCUGCUCCUAGUUCAUCCUUCUGUGUUCCAGCAUGAUUUUCCUGGCUUCUCUAAUCAGGUCAUAAUUUUCGGCUUUCAAAGUAGAUUCCAUUCAGCGAAAAUCUAAGUUCGAGAUAAAAUUCAUGUCUCUGUUUUGAUUUUGCUCAAUUUUUGCAAGUUUUCAACUUUUGGAAGAAAAAAAAUCAAGAGAACUUAGUUGAUUUAGAUCAGAAUAGAUAGUUCCUUCAAUGCCUUCAAUAUCAGUACAUAUACAAAAAACUGUGUAAUAGCUGUGGACAACACAUUAUGCAUAUCAAUGCGAUUCAAUUCCAUUUUGAGUUCAUAUUCUCAUCAUGUUUUUUUUUCCAAAGUCAUGUAUAUUACAUGACUCUUAAUUUUUAUUAAAGCACUUAUGUCCAAUGUUUAUGCGGGGCACAUUUUUUUGGCGUAUGCACGGGAAUAUGAUUCUCCAAGAAUUUUUCAAAUAUAUAGAAUGUAACGACCCUAACUCGAAUCCAUCACCGAAAUAGAGUUACGGAGCAUUACUAGAGUUACCGAUUUAUUUAUCAGAUAUUUUAUUUCAUCUAACGUUCAUAUUUUGAACCAAUUAAAAUCAAACAUAUUGUCCCCUAAACGUACUUAUUUUUCUCGACAUGUUUUACUUGAAUUUAUUAGUCUCAAUAUACUUAAUUUCCUUGUAUCAACGUAUCAAAGAUAAUCAAAUAUUUACAUGUCAUGAUAAAUAUUAUUCUCUUGCCAUUUCUUCAUAAACAUAAAUCAAGUAAUUCAAUAUAUCGAUAUUUCAUGCAUUUAAAAAUACAAUUCAAGUUACACUAACUUACCUCGUUGCUUGUUCAUGUUUAUAAUUUCAUUAAUCUGAUAUCUUUUAUUUUCCACGUUCAAGUCUCGUAUUCGAGUCAUUUGGAUCUUUAUAAAUAAAUUUGAUCGUCGUUUUCAUUUAUUUCAUGUUGUAAUACAUUCAAUUAAUGCUCUAAAUAAAAUUACCAUUUUACCCCUAAACUUUUAAUUAAUGACGAUUUUAUCCUUAGGCUCUAAAAAAUAAAAUUCUUGCAAUUUAAUUUUUAUUUUCAGCCGUUAUUCUCAUACAAAUUGAUAACAAACCAUGAAUUCUAUAAAAUAUCAGAAUUUUCCAUAAUUUCAAAACUUUUCAAUUUAAUCCUUAAAACAUGUUUUUUUCCCGAUCUUAAACUAAAUUAAUAAUUUUAUUCAAUUUUGCAAUUUUAAAUAAUAAAAUAAUCCAUUUCAUGCAAAUUGGUCAUUUCUAACAUUUUUAUAAAAUUGCUCAUAAAUUUUUACUUUUAUUCAAUUUAGUCUCUGAGCCUAAAACAUACAAAUUAGCCAUGCUAGCUGAAUAUUCAUACAUAUUUUCCUCCUCAUCCUCUCCAUUCCACAUCCUUAAUUUAUAUAACAUGCUACAAAUAACAUUAUUAAUAAUUUCACUAUUUACUUAUAUGUAUAUUCAAAACUGUCCAUUUGAGUCAUAGUCACUAAAUUAUUUAUAUCUUGAGAUACAGAACUCAAAAUAAAGAUCCGCUAAUUUUCCAUGAAACUAGACUUACAUAUCUUCUUACCAUAAAAUUUUCAGAAUUUUUGGUUUAGCCAAUAAGUAUAGUUUAUUCUUUAAAGUUACCUCUGUUCUGUUGUCUGACAGUUCUGACCAUUCUUCACUAAAAAUUAAUUAUCUCCUCGUACAAGAUUCAAAUGAUGUUCCCGUUUGUUCCUCUUGAAAUUAGACUCAUUCAUGAUUCUAAAAAUAUAAAUUUAAGCCCUUAAUUAUUUUUUUCCAAUUUUUGAUGAUUUUCCAAAGUCAGAACAGGGGAACCCGAAAUCAUUCUAACCUUGUCUCAUAAAUUUUAUUAUAUCUCACAAUUUACAAUUCCAUUGCUUACACCAUUUCUUCUAUGAAAAACUAGAGUAAAUUUAAUUUCAUAUUUUAUUCAACCUCUAAUUUAAUUUACACAAUUUUUGGAGAUUUUCCAAAGUUUGACUACUACUGUUGUUUAAAACUGUUUUAGUGCAACAUAUUGGUUACCAAGUUUAUAACACCCUUAUUUCUAUUCUCUACCAUAUUUCCCAUCAUUUUCUCUUAUUUUCCUUCACUAAUAUAUCAAAAACAUAGAGCCUUAUAUAAGAAAACUCUACCUUAACAUCAUUUUCAUGCUUUUGAUAUUACCUUACAUGAAAACUCUACUUAAAAUAUAUUGAAAUCUUAAAGUUCUUAGCUUGUCCUAUUGAUUUCAAUCUUUAACCUGAUUUUUCUCUCUCCUUCAGCUUCUGUUUCUUGAAUCCAACUUGAUAUUCUAACUCCCCUUAGUCUUCUUAACAAUUUUCUCUCUUGGUAGCUAUGAAAAUUCUUUUGAUUUCUAGGUGAAAAUGGUGAAUUUUUGGUGGGAGGACUAAAUUAUAAAGAAAGGAAAGUUUCUUCUUCUCUUUUCUUUCUAACGUGGGAUGCAUGGAAAUAGAUGGUGUUGUUCCCUUUUCUUUUUUUUCCACACACACAUAUAUAUAUACUAAAUAAAAUAAUAAAAUAAUAAUAAAUAUCUUAUUAAAUAUUAAUAAAAUAAUAUUUUUCUAAUUAAAUAAUUAUAAAAUAUCAUCAACAUCAUCAUUACUUUCUAGCUUUCUCUCUCUUUCAAUUGGCCAUUUUACCCUUCGUGAUCUUUUAAAAUUCCAUCAUUGAGUUAUCACUUAAUUUGAUAAAAUUAUUAUUUAGUCCCUCAUAAUUCUUUACCUAUUCAAUUUAGUCCUAAUUCAUCAAUUUUUCUUAGUUUCUAUACCAUUCCACCCAUAAAAUAUUUACACUAUUGGUCUUUUAACUUUUUUAUAUUUACACUUCAACACCUUAAAUUUUGAGUAUUUACUCUUGGGCAACAAAACUUUUUUCACUUUUACAAUUUAGUCAUUUCUUGAAUUAAUAUGUCAUAAUAUACUUCCCAAUGACAUAACUCAAAUUUCAUCUUCUUGUCACUUUAUUUCCUUAUUUUACUAUAUCAAUGAUAAUAUUUUAUUGUAGAAAUUUUCGGGGUGUUACAUAGAAAAAAUUGAAAAAGAUUGAAAAUGCCUGUGUUAGACAUAUACUUGUAUUUGAUAUUUCAAAUCCACUCAUACUUGUAUAUGAUACUAAAAUUUGAGUCCAAGCAACCAGAUGUUCAUCAUCCCAAACCUAUUCUUGUUUAAUAAAUUGCAAACUAGUUUUUAUCAUUUCAUAGGAGAAUACUACUAAACAUUUGCUUAAACUGGGCAUUGAAAUUUCAUUAUAAGUUUUUUUUUUAAAAAACGAGAGAGAUAUCUCAUUGAAGGAGCAUUUGAAUGUCCAUGAUGUUAUCUUACAAAUUCUAUAUUCAUAUAUCGCCUGAAGCUUCAUUUGUUCCACCUACUGUAUGAAUUUACAUAUAACACGAUAUUAUCAUUAUUUAUAAAUAAUCACAAUUAAGCAAAGGCUGUGGAGCUAAUCCUUUGAAAGUUUGACAGGAUAACUAGGAUGCUCCACUAUUAAAAUGUUUUAGAGAGUAUCACUUGAAAGUUUAGAAUACGAAUACUGUUAAAGAGUACACUUCUUAAUAUUUCUUAAAUUGUUAAGUCUUCCUUCUUGAUUAAACAAAAAACACAUCAGCAUACAAAUAACAAUGUGGGAGUAAGUUUCAUAUAGUGUUUGUAACUCCCCUAGUUAGGUUGAACAAUGUCAUUUUAAUCCUUCUCAAUUGUUAAGUAUUCAAUUUAAGCCUUUUGAAACAAGAUUUUUACUUUUACCCUCCCAAACUUCUAAAAUUUUAUUUCAUCCCCAAUACCAAAUUCGUAGUUUCUCCCCUUGCUUAUAAAUGUGUUCUCUAAUCUCUCUCUCCCACCAUAUCCUUUACUUCAGCAUGUUGACCCCAUUUCCUUUAUAACCACUUUUUGAUAACUUCAUUCAAAGAUCUAUAAGUAAAGGUUUGAAUGUUUCAUUUGGAACCUUUCCUUCUUUUAGCAAAUUUAAAAUUUUAAAAUUCUCUUUAUAACUUUUUCUUUGCAAUCAUUACAAUCACUACAUAUUUCAUCAUCCUUAACAAUUUAUCCCUUGUCACAACUAACUACUACCACAUUUGUGGCAAUGUUAGUAAUCCCAUAUGUUAAGAAAUACAUAAUAUAAAGAAUUUAAAUAAGAAAUUAUUUACAACUUGAGUAAUUGAGCUAGGUGCUUAACCCACUAGGUAUUUGAGCUUAUUUAUGACAUUUUUUGCGCAACUAUUCAUUGCCUUUAUAAGACUCAAUUCAAUUUUUCAUUUUUAUCAUUAAGUGCUAGGAAUGAACUUCUACUCAAAGUUCUAAGACAAAUUUAAGGAAAAAAUCUUAAAAACUAAAGCUCGAUCUCGUAAUUAAAUCUGGGUUUGAGAGUACGUUUACGUGUAGAAAAGGUUAUAGCACUCUUACAAUGUCUAUCUAAAGAUAUUUCUAUAGAGCUUGAAGUUUAGGGUUUCUAAUAGGGGCGAAUUUAGGGGGGCUGGCAGGGCACGACAUGGACACUACAAAAUGUCUAGAUUAGUAGGGCCCAAAAUAGGUCCUGAUUUUAUUUAAUUCCAGUCAAUUUGAUUUGAUUUUAAUCAAAUGAAUUUAAUUGCUCCUUAAUGCAGAUUUUGUAUCAUCCAUGUUGAAUGCCUAUAAAAGACUAAGACUUCUUCAGAAUUUUUUGCAAAAUUACACUUUCUCACGCCAAGUUCAUUUUGCUCUUCAAAAUUCUUCUCUUUUUCUCUUUACAUUUUUCAAUGUUUCGGUGAUAAAAAAAGUAAUGUUUGUUCGUUGAUCACUGCAGAUGUGCUACCGCUUCAAUCAUCGUGUUGUUGUAUCCUGGAAGGCAGUUGACCAACAUUUCUCCAAGUACUGGAGGAGCGGCCGGAUUUGUCUUAAGAAAAUUGUGUAAAACAUGCCUCAACAUCUAGUAAAACUCGAUAUCUGAUAAUUUAAAUAUAAAUUAUUCAAUUUAUAUUUUAUUUUAUAUAUAAAUAUUUAUUUAUUUAUAUUUAUAUAUUUGUUCGCUAACAUGUUUUGUCUAAUAUCAUCCAUGUUUAUUUUUUUCUCUUAAAUUCUUUAAAUCUUUGAUAUAUAUAUAAUAUAUGUUUUGUUUUUUUCGUUUGUCACACUAUUAGUUUUGAUUUUGAAAGAAGAUUCUACUAUGUAAUACGUGUAUAUAAUUGAGUGAACCAGGUAUUGUGGGGGUUGUAAGGCAAGGAACAAAAAAGAGCUUCAACUGGUAAAAUAUGGCCAUCUCUCUCUCUCUCUCUCUCUCUCUCUCUCUCUCUACACACACAUACGUAUAUAUAAUAUGCAUUUUUUAAAUGGGUUUGUAGAUUCUGCUUUUUUUAAUGGAUGGAUUUCUUGAGUUUUCUUGGGUUAGUUCAACAUGUUGUAGGCAUCAUAUAAAAUUCCCUCUUAAAUGGAAAGGCAGGGAAAUUUUUUACCGGAAACAGGAGGUUGAGAAUGAAUUUCUCAACAAAAGAGUUAUGAAAAAGUAUCAAAAGUUUAAUCUCAACGUGAUAAAUAUUCAAAUAAUCUCAUUAAAUCAUUCAAAAUUAUCUUUCAAAAAUCUGCCUCAUGGAUAUAUUUAAACUUCUGUGCUAAUUCUUAAGCCCUACAUUAAUGCUUCUAGUUUUUCAGCUUAAUCUUUUUUAAUGCAGUUAUAAGUAUUGAGUUCGCAAAAUUUUAGACUCAUUUUCUAGAUUUAGCUUUAAAAAAUGAGUUUAAAAUUUUGUUCAAGCCCGUCCAGAUAAAAAUGCUAGAAUCAAGUUCAGCUCGGUUUGUUUGUAUUAAAUUUUUAUAUGAAAAUAAAAUUAAAAUAUAAUAUAUUAAAAACACUAAAAAUAUUAAAAUAAAUAUUUUAUACUUAAAUAACAUUAAAUUAAUUACAAAGUAGCAAGUAAAUGCCUCUAAAAUAGUAGCAAAAUUAAUAAUAAAAUAAGAGUUAUAUAAUAUCCAAACAAUAACAACAAACAGUAGUAAAAUGACAAUAAAAUAACAACAAAAUAAUAGUAAACAAAACUAUUUUGUUAUAUCCAAACUAAUACCAACCCAACCCGUUUCAUUAAUAAAAUAUGAGCAAUUAACCAACCAGCAAAACUACUUGUUACAAAUAACAUAUUGUUGUUGCAUCGAAACAUAUAAAUGUUGACUAAUCUAGCUAACAUUGAACUUGAUAAAAUGAAAUGGUUGAAUAAUUGAAUAAUGAGAUUAUUCAAUAAUAGACAUUAAAUGCUAAAAUUACGCAUUGGACAUCUAUGAUUAAAAAAGUCUUUGUGAUUGUUCCAGAAGAAAUAAAAUAAAAGAUACAAUAGAGCUAGGACAUUUAUUAUAUGAGGUUUAUCGAAUGCUAAAUGCAGAGGUAUAUGAAAAAAAAUUUAGGCAAAUCAGGUCGAAUUAAGCCCAUUUAAAAAAUAAACUUUAUUUUUUGUUUAAACUCAUUUUUUAAACUUAUAUUUUUACUUAAACUCUCUCAUUUUUUUAGUAAACUUUAAGAUUUAAUUUUACUCAUUGGAUCUCAUCAAUUUCGUUUGCACCUCAUUUCAUCACAAUCUUCAAAUUCAUUAGAGAAAAAGAAAUAGUUGAUUUACCAAAAAAUGGAACAUGUUUAAAACAAUUAUUUUCUCCAAAAAGGUAGUUGUGUUCUGGUGGUUGAGAUGGUUUUAGAAAGUUGACUAUAUAUAUAUAUAUAUAUAUAUAUAUCGAAUUUAGAUUUAAACAAAGUAUAAAGAAGAUGAUUUCAAAUAUUUAAUUUGCGUGUGAAAUAGGAGAGGAUGUGAAAAGAAGAAACCUUAUGUAGGAAUGUAUUGAGUUAAAAAGAAUGGUAAAUUAUACCAAUUCUCACCAACUUUGAUAAAAUAAUACAAUAGUUACAAUACUUUCAACUUAUUCACUAAAAUUUUAAAAAAUAACAACAGUAACCAACUAACAUGAAAGGUCUUAAUUUUUGAGGAAAAACGGACAGUGUGGGCAGAAAAAAAGAAGAAAGUAGUAAAUUGGGAUUAAUUAAGAAUUUUAGGGAAAAGAGUUGGGGGACGAUUGAAAUUUUCAGGGUCUUUGUUGAACAAUUGCUCUAAGGUUUGACGAUUAAAAUUUAGGAGAAAAGCGACCGGGAGAAAAAAAAAACAACAAAAGGGAGAAUGACUGAAGAGAAAAUUGAAAAAAUUUAACAUGUUUUCUCCCAACAAAUCCAACAAUGUAAGAAACCCAUAUUUGAAUACCUUCUAUAUUGGAUAGACAUGUUACUAGCUUUCCAAAUAGCAAUCUUUUCAAAAGUUUCAAUUGGAAGUACAAAGUGUUUGUUAGGAGGAUUACAAUGCCCACCACCUUCCACCGUGAACCCAUAAUUUUGAGCACAAAAAUUAGUGGCGGUGACAAUGAUAGAUAUUCUGGGUAUACAACUCUGCAAGUCGUCCAUACACCUUAAAUCGAAAUAAGCACCGCAGAUCUAUCCACGUUGAAACAAAGCCUCACUUAAACCCACAAUUGCCAUACCAUAACCAGCCUUGACAAGAUCUCCAUACCCACAAGCACUGCUGACGGCGUUGCGAGGAUCCAAUGUGGCGUAGUAAUUGGUGCAUGUGGAGUGCCAGACGGUGGACUGUGGCCUCUAUGGGGAAGAAGAGAAGGUGCCUAUUUUACUAAAUUGGUCUAAAAAUUUUUGAUAUUUAUAAAAAUAACCCAGGUUCAAAAACAAUCACUAAAAUGACCUGAAAUGAACAGUAGAAUGGGAUUUUGGCCUGUCAAUGGCCGACACUAACUCGUAUUUUGCACCCAUGAUUGUUUGAUGAUUGUGUCAGGCUUUAAAAAAUUAAUUUUUUUAAUUUUGGCCUGUCAAUGGCCGGCACUAAGAUAUUUUUUUUAAAAAUCGUAUUAUACUGAUAUACAAAAAUACCAAUAUUUAAAAAAAAAAUUGGUGCUGGCCUGUCAAUGGCCGGCACCAGUAUUUAAAAAAAAUUAAAUUUUUUUGGUGCUAGCCUGUCAAUAGUCAGCGAGUUUUUUUAAAAAAAAUAAUAUGAAAAGAAAAUAAUAAUAUAAAAAAAAUAAUAUGAAAUGAAUUGAAAAAAAAUUGAAAUGAAAUAAUUGAAAUUAAAUUAAAUUAAAAGAAAAAGGUUGACAAGACUCAUCUAUAACGCCCGUGUCAGGCCUAUAUCACAGGCCAAAUUGGCCGACCAUUUCAUACUUUUUUUUUUUCAUUUCAUAUUUUUUUUCUAAUUUUGCCCUUGAAGCCAAAUAGUCCCCCACUAUAAAUAGGCUAUUCCGACGACCAUCAACGAUCACCGACGACCACCGAGCACCUCCAGACACCUCCGACAAUCACUAUUCACCGCCGACGACUGCCAAUCACUCUACCAACCGGUUCAAACCACAACUUAGUUGCGAAAUAAACACCAUUGCACCAUAAAUUAUGUCCAUCUGCGUUGGAUAACUUGAUUAACAAUCUAUGGCACAAAUAAUCAUUCAACCCUUAAUGGCAUAACCUUUAAGGUGGACAUGGCAGUAUAUAAUUCAACUUCGUUAAAAUAUGACAGUAUAUAAUUUAACCCCAAAAUUCGAUUGUACACUACGAAAAACUCCCAUCUACAAUCUACUAUAAAAAAAAAACUCAUUUGAUGAUAUACUACAAAAACACUCUCAUUUUGAUAGCUCUCUAAAUUUUUUUGUUCUCAUUCCGUUUACACUAUCAGAACCUAAACCACCUACUGUAUAUAAAGUAGGGUGCCGACAGGCCAACACCAAAAAAAUUUAAAUUUUUUUUAAUACUGGUGCCGACCAUUGACCAGCCAAUACUGUGGCAGACCCAUUUUGCCCAGGCCUUUGAAAUUAUUUACAACAAAUAAAUAAAUAAAUAAACUAAAUAAAAUUAAAUUGUUUGCAGUCAUAAAAUACAAACCCAAACUUGAGACCUAAAACCAAGAAUAAACCGGACCCAACAAAUAACCCAAAUCCCAGCCCAAAACAAAAAAAACUACUCAGCAAACCCUAAGAGCUUCAGUUGCUGCAGCCUCCAACUGCCUCCUCCACGCCAGCACGCCCACAAACAGCUUCACUCUAUGCCAUACACACCUGCAAAACGGAAUAACAAAUAGCAAUUGACAGCAAAGGAAUAAGAAUAACAAGGAUUUUUUUUAUUUUCUUUUUCUUUUUAUUUUUAUUUAUUUUUCGGCUAUAAAACUGAAUGAAAGGAUGUAAAAGGGGAAGGGACGAGUCUAUACAAAAUCGAUUCAAAAGUUUGAAUAAAAAGAGAAACAGUCUCUAAGAGGUGAUUUGAGAUUUCAUUUUUUCCUUUUCGAUUUUGUUUUUUUUCUUUGAUCUUCAUUGUUGUGCAUAAAAUAUAAAAUAAAUAAAAGCCUAAACACUUAUCUGUUAGAAGGAGCCUUAGAAUCCCUGUUUACUUUGUUGAAAUUGAAGCUCAAUGGGGAUUCAAGUGGUCUGAUUUGAUGAUAUGGAGGCAAAGAGUGAAGAACCUUUUGGUUCAGUCGACUAAAGGGGAAAAGGGGUUGAAAGGGGAAAAGGGGUUGAAAAUUUUUGAGAGAAGGGUUUUGAAAGUUGUUUUGAGAAGAAUAAUCGGUCAGAGGUUAUUAUGGCCUUGCCUUUUCACCUUAAAAGGUCAAUUUUCGCGUCGAGUCCCUCUUAUUCUACAUUUAUUUGUUUUUCAGCCUUGAUUCUGUUUAUUUGUUUUUACAUUUUUCCUGUGAUUUAUGCAUUGCUACAAUUUGGUCCUUGUUUAAAUGCUGCGUUUCAAAGCUUGGGAUAUUUGUAUUUUAGAUCCCUGACCAUUGGUGCAUGUUUCAUCUUAAUUUAAUCUUUGGUUUUGUUAAUUUUAUUUGUUUAUAGAUCGUUCUCUUAAUCUUAUUUUUAUUUCAAUCGAGUUUUUAUUUACUUAUUUAUGUUCUUAUUCAUUUUUAUUUAAGAUUUUAUUAUUUGUUUUCUAAAAUUAUCUUAAUAUAGUUUUAAAUAUUGCUUUAAUUUGUUAUUUCAUUCAUUUGUAUAAUUGUUUUAUUAUGUAAAAUUUCUAUUUUAAAGUUUUCUUUAUACAUGUAUUUUUGUAUUCGAAAUUUAUACAUUAUACAUUAUAUAUUAUUUUAAAUUUUAUAUUAUGCAUUAUUUUUAUAUAUAUUGUUGAUUUCAUAUUAUUUUAUGUAUACAUCACUUCUUGAAUUUAUUCACAUACAUAUAUAUUUUUUAUAUAUUUAUACAUAAGCUAGCUCUUUUAAAAAGUCUAUUUUAUUAUAAAUAUAUAUUAUUUUCAACACUUUCAUAUGUUAUUUUAUACAUAUAAUUUUUUUAAAAUCUAUUUGUAUAUAUAAUUAUGUUUUUAAAAUUUAUUACAUAAAUAAUUUAUGAUAAAAUUAAGUUAAUCUUAUAAUACAUAUUUUAAUUCCAUGUCAUUUUAGCAUACAAUUGUUUCUAAAAUUUAUUCACAAACACGUAACUCAUAUUAAAUUAUUUUUAUUAUAGUCCACGCCAUUGAUUUCAUAUUAUUCCAUGUAAAUAGUUUUCUAUGUAUUCCUUUAAAGUUAUUUAUGUGUAUAAUUUAUUUCUUUUAAGGACUAUAUUUAAGUUGUACAAUUUACUUAUUUUACGAACUUCCAUAUCUUAUUAUUUUUGUGCAUAUAUCAUCAAUACGUAUCAUUAAUCCAAAAUUAAUUUAUUUCAUAUAAAAUUAUUUUAUACAUUGCCUAUUUCAAAAUUCUUUUUACACAUACAUACAUAUAUUAAAACAUAUGCUUGAUUUAUAAGCGUCAGUUCAUACAUGUUAUACCUAUAGUUUUUGCAUACAUAAUUAUUAUAUACUAUUGAUCUCAUGCUAUUUUUUACAAAUAAUUAUUUCUAUGUACAUAUGCAUGUUUUGUAAAUUUAUUAUCAUGUAUUUUAUUAUUCUUUUAUAUUUUAUAUAAACUAUCAUGUAUAUUGUUAAUUUUUAAAUGAGUUUAUGUUUAAAAUAUUUUGCAUGUUAUUCUAUUCAAAUGUUUUAAUACUUAUUUCAAUAACUAUAUAUUCCUAGUUUUUAUGCAAAUUAAUCUACUCAUAUAGUAUGUAUAUUAUGUGUUCAUUAAUUCAUAAUUAUUAUAAAAAUUGUCUUAUACUACAUCUUUUGCUAAUUUCCGCUUUAUUUUGUACAUGUUUUGUGGGUUGUUUUACAUUUAUUGUUGUGGUAUAUUAUUUAGUCACUGUUUUAUCAAUUGCUCUCCAUUCAUGAUUAAGAAUUUGGUUAUAUUUUACUUAGAAUAGUCGUACAUAAUUGUUGGAUUUAUUAAAUGGAGGCUUAUUGUAUCAUAUUAUUUCCUGUUCAUUAAUCAUUUUCUAUGCAAAUGUUUCGAUACAAUGCAUCAAGUGUUCUACCCAUUUUAAAACAAAUAAACGUGUUUUGAGCUAAUUUUUAAUUUUUCUUAUUAUUCAAAAAUUCUGAAAUAAGGCAAUAUCCAAUAUUUGGGAAUUCAAGAAAUCGUGCUCAAUCGUGCUGGGUAUGAUUUUUUCGGUGAACUAAAAUAUUUGGAUAACCUUUUAUAAUUUUAGUGUACUAGUUUUUGAAAGUCAAAAAUCAAUCAUAUUUUUUAAGGUAUAAAGGAUCGUAUCCGAUCGUGCUGGGUAUGAUGCUGCAUAUCUUUGAAAAGAUAGAACUUUGACAGUUAACUUGAACUAUUCACACUUUUAAAGAAUCAUGCUUUGAAAGAUUUUUUUUCUUAAAAUCUUUGAUAUAAUGAUAGCAUCGAAUCAAUUUGGUACCAAUUUUUGGGCGUAAUGAGGGUGUUCACCCUUCCUCAUGCGUAAUCGAUUCCCGAACCCAUUUGUUUUUUAUUUUACGUGAACCAAAAUUGUCCUUAAUGGAACAAAACAAUUUAGUAGGUGGCCCAAUCACACCUAAACCGAGAGAUUGGUGGCGACUCCAUAUUUUUGUUUUAAAAAGUUGAUUCUCAUUUUUCUCUAUAAAAAAUGGUUUCGACAAGCACCAAUUUUUUUUUAAAACUCGUAUUCUAGUGUCGGCUAUUGACAGGCCAACACCAAAAAAAUUGAAUUUUUUUUAAAUACCGGUGCCGGUUAUUGACAGGCCAGCACCAAAUUUUUUUUAAAUACUGAUAUUUUUGUAUACCAGUAUGAUACGAUUUUAAAAAAAAUACCUUGGUGCCAGUCAUUGACAGGCCAAAACUAAAAAAAUUAAAAUUUUAAAGCCUGGCACAAUCAUCAGGCAAUCAUGGGUACAAAAUACGAGUUGGUGCCGGCCAUUGAUAGGCCAAAACCCCAUUUUACUGUUCAUUUCAAGUCAUUUUGGUGAUUAUUUUUGAACCUGAAUCAUUUUUAUAAAUAUCAAAAUUUUUUUGGCCAAUUUAGUAAAAUAGCCAGAGAAGGUGGAAGAAGAGUAAUGGGAAGAGUAGUGGGAAGUGACAGUAAAGAUGAGUGAGAGAAGAAGAGUUAUUGUUGCAGUUAUAGAAAAUGGGUUUUCAUAGUAGCGUUAAAAAUGUUUGUUCAAAUAGGAAGCAUAGAAAGAGAUGUAUAAUUAUUUUGGAUGUGGAUUGUCAUUGAAUUUGAAUUUUUUAUCAAAUUAUCCUAAAAUGGAUAAAAAAAUUAAUGUUUGUCAACUAUGCUGACGUAGCAUCUACUAAUGGGAAGAGUAGUGGGAAGUGACAGUAAAGAUGAGUGAGAGAAUAAGAGUUACACUAUGUUUGGUUUGGUGUAUUGGCUAUGCCAAUACACCCCUAAUCGGUGGGCCCCACCUAAUCCGGCUAUAUUCCGUUGUUUGGUUUGAUGUAUUACUAAUACGUGUGUAAUCCAUUACCUUCCUAAUCGGUGAAAACCACUGAUUUCUAUUCCCCCUCUUUUGUCCAGAUUAGCUACCGCUUCAGCAAACCUCCCUGUUUUACCCUCCCCCGAUCCCCUUUGUUUCUCUUCUGUUCCUUCUAGCUUCAUCCGCUUCUGGGUCUCCAGGUUACUGCAACUGUAUAAGAUAAACGCCUUUGUCUUCUAAUUUCCUCAUUCCGCACUUCGGUUCUCUCUCAUUGCGGCAUCUAUCAUAGGUAUGGCGACAGCCAUUGUAGCCCCUGCCAACGCGUCACUGCAAGACCCAACCAAGUUUCACCCUGACGUCAAGCUCUUCAAUCGCUGGAGCUUCGAGGAAGUUCAAGUAUUUCUUUUUCUUUUUUCCCCUUUUGCCUCUCUAUGCAUACAUUUCUUUUUUCAUUCUCUUGGCUUUGUUUUUUCUAGAUUUUAUAUGAAAUGUUCCGUUUUAGCAUGUUCUCUAUUUUUUUGGUCUUUUCAAGUCGAGUGGAUCUACUAGGACUAAUUAAUUGUAUACAGGGAUUCUGUUUUCGUAGAGAAUCGUUCAUGUUGUUUUUAACUUGAUAAUAUUUGUUAGAUCAUCUUGUUGUGACUGAACAUCUAUAUUGUUGUUCUCUGAUUUGAAGAUUUUACUUGUUGUCUUUGAUGUUACUGAUAUUCAGAUUGACAAUUUAUGUUAAUCCUAAAUGUUUGUCUUCAUGUUUGUAAGAAAUUGGUUAAUUUUAGGUUAGAUUAUUUGGAUAAGAUGAUCGUAUUAGAUUGUCUUUCGAAUGCUUAAAGACUCCUGAAGAUUCGAAAGAAUUAGGUUCCUCAACUUGCUGUUCCCUUUGAUAACUACAAUUGUUAGCCCUGGUCCUUGAUGUGAAUGAUUUAUCUAUUUUAGGUUUCUGAUAUCUCUUUGAGUGACUACAUUGGUGUUCAACCUUCCAAACAUGCAACCUAUGUGUCACACACUACUGGGAGGUACUCAGUUAAGCGUUUUAGAAAGGUUCAGUGCCCCAUUGUUGAGAGGCUUACAAACUCAUUGAUGAUGCAUGGCCGAAACAAUGGAAAGAAACUUAUGGCAGUCAGGAUUGUGAAGCAUGCUAUGGAAAUUAUUUAUCUCCUGACUGAUCAGAACCCAAUUCAAGUCAUUGUUGAUGCCAUUAUCAACAGGUGGCCUAUCUGACCUUUAAGAAUUUCCUUUUUCAAAUGUAUCACUAGCUGACUUUAAUCUUUAAAGUAGCAGAUGAUGUUAAUUAAAACAUCUUCCAAUUCUGGGUUAUCUUUGUUGGAUCAAUCUUUGAUAAUCCUUGUUGAUUUUUGAUUGAUAUAACAGUGGACCUCGUGAAGAUGCUACUCGUAUUGGUUCUGUUGGUGUUGUGAGGCGUCAGGCUGUUGAUAUUUCUCCUCUUCGUCGAGUGAAUCAGGUCAUCUAUCUCCUCACCACUAGUGCUCGUGAGUCUGCAUUCAGAAACAUUAAAACUAUCGCUGAAUGUUUGGUUGAUGAGCUUAUUAACGCAGCAAAGGGAUCAUCUAACAGGUAAAUAACAGCCUUUGAACUCCCGUGUUUGAACCUUAUUUUGCUUUGAAACUAGGAACUGUCCUUGCAAUCCCAUGUAUUUACCACAGCUUGCUUCAUCAUUCUCGCGUUGUUUGUGCAGCUAUGCCAUCAAGAAGAAGGACGAAAUCGAGAGAGUUGCCAAGGCUAAUCGUUGAGGAAUUGGUAGGACUUUGCAAAAACCAUGGCAGUGGACACUUCUGUUUUUUAUUCAGUACUUUAUAAGUUACCUAUUUUGUGUUCCAAACAUAAUAUGAAUGUUCCGUUAUUUAAGUUGAGAUGUUAUUGAAGAGAGCAUAUCCUGUUUUGGUUAUAUAUGCUGUACUUAUUUUGCCAUGGUUUGAAGCUGUUGAGUUCAUCUUUGCUGCAAACAAAGAGAUGAGAGUGCUUGAUGUGGUUGUUUUGACCACAUUAAAUCGCCCUGCCUGUUGCUAAUAAUUAGUACUUAAAAAAGAGACAAUUAAAGGAAGAAAUCAAAUUGAGUUUUUCCAAUUAUUGAGCAGAUGAAAUUAUACAAGUCUUUCAAAAAUAUUGUUAUGAAUUUCUAACCCAGCCAAUAGAAGCAAAGAAAAAAAUAUUAAUUGGAGCAAUUAUACAAACUUCUGUUUGAAGUUAAAUACAAAGGCCGUAACACUAUUGAAAUCAAGCCUUUCAACCUGCAUUAACAAUGGAAGAGACUGCAGUUUAUCAAUGUCAAAUUUUAUAUGUUUUAUGAACAUGAUUCUCUCUAUCUACAGAUAAAGAAAAAUUUUUUUGGAACUUUAUACUACAAAAGUCGAUUUAAUAAUCCCCGUUCUAAUACUGCUUAUAUUGUUUGGCUUGUUACAGUUGGAAGUUCAUCGAGGACAAACAUUUUUCAAAUUAUUAUUUUAAAUUAUACAAAUUCAUAAAAUAUAAUUUAUUAGUUAUAAUUAUUUUAAAUUUUAUUAAAUCAUAUAUUUUAAUUAAAAUAUAUUUAAUAUUAAUUAUUUCAAAUUUUCUUUUAUAGUAUCAUAUAUUAUGAUUUGAGUAAAUUCAUAUAAGAAUAUUAAUUAUUAAGAAUUUUAUUAAAUUAUAUAUUUUAAUUAUAAUAUAUUUAAUAAUAAUUAUGUUAAUUUAUAUUUUACAGUAUUAUAUAUUAUGAUUUGAGUAAAUUCAUAUGAGAAUAUUAAUUAUUAAGAAUUUUAUUAAAUUAUAUAUUUUAAUUAAAAUAUGUUUAAUAAUAAUUAUGUUUAAAUAUGAUUAAAAUAUUUAUUAUUGAUAAUAAUAAUCUUAUUAAAAUUUAAAUAACAAUAACAAUAAUCAUUUACCAAAAUAAAUUUAUGCUAAGGGUAUUCUAGUCAUUUUAGUUUUUUCCACUAUGCUAUUACACCUCUAUUCCAUUCAACCAAACACAAGAUUACUAUUACGCAUCUAUUCCAUUACAUUCAACCAAACAGUUGAUUUGCUAUUACACCUCUAAUCCAAUACACCUCUAAUCCAAUACACUUCUAAUCCAAUACAUCUCUAAUCCAAUACAGCGAACCAAAUGCACUCUUACUGUUGCAGUUAUAGAAAAUGGGUUUUCAUAGUAGCGUUAAAAAUGUUUGUUCAAAUAGGAAGCAUAGAAAGAGAUGUAUAAUUAUUUUGGAUGUGGAUGGUCAUUAAAUUUGAAUUUUUUAUUAAAUUAUCCUAAAAUGGAUAAAAAAAAUUAAUGUUUGUCAACUAUGCUGACGUAGCAUCUACUAAUGGGAAGAGUAAUGGGAAGUGACAGUAAAGAUGGGUGAGAGAAGAAGAGUUACUAUUGCAGUUAUAGAAAAUGGGUUUUCAUAGUAGCGUUAAAAAUGUUUGUUCAAAUAGGAAGCAUAGAAAGAGAUGUAUAAUUAUUUUGGAUGUGGAUUGUCAUUGAAUUUGAAUUUUUUAUCAAAUUAUCCUAAAAUAGAUAAAAAAAUUAAUGUUUGUCAACUAUGCUGACGUAGCAUCUACAUGGAUUAUAAUGUGAAUGACAUGUCAAUAUUUAAUUAAUUUUAAUAUAUAUUUUAAAUAAUUUAAAUAAUUUAAAAAAUUUUUAUUAUAUUUUUUAUUUUAAAAAUUUUAAAAAAUUAAUUAAAUACUAAUGUGUCACCAUAUGCAUGUCAUAUCAACAAAGUUAAAAAGACAUUAACUUUUUUAUUUAUUUUGGAGUGAUUUAAAAAAGAAUACAAAUUUAAAAGCAAAAAAAAAAUGAAAUGCUAAAAUAAUUUUUUUAAUCUAUAGAGAUCUCUCACGCUAAACUAAAGCUAUAAGCUUUUGUAGUUAAUGUAUAGGAUAAAGUAGUAUCGAACCCCAAAUGAUGGUUUGAUGGUUAGGGUGUUCAUCGCUUCAAAUAUAAUUUGGAUUCGAGUCACAUUAAUCACGUUAGUGUUUUACUCUCGUCAUGUAAUUUUUUUAAAAAAAAGAGGGGAAGUAUGGGUAACUUUCUAAAAAACAACCAAAUGUAAACCUAAUCUUCAUUUUCAAAAGAUGUAAAAAUCUUUCAUCAAAUCUGGUUGAACCCAAAAUAAAAAUAUAAUGUGUAAAUAAAACUAACAGGGGUAAAAUUAAAUAAAAUUAAAGAGGUGAGAUAUUAAUAUUAUGAAAUAAAUUAAUUCAUUAAUAAAAAAAUAUAUAUUUGGCAUAAUAAUUUAUUUAGCCUUUCAACUUUAAAAAAAAUCAUUUUAAUUUUUUAUUUACUUUUUCGUUUAUUUUAACUCUUAAACUUACAUUAUUUUUCAAAUCACUCAAAAUGGAUGAAAAAACUAGCAUUUGUUAAUUAUGCUAAUGUGACAGCAUCCAUGUGAUAAUCCAUGUGUAUGCCACAUUAACAAUUAAUUAUUUUUUAAAAAAUAAAAAUAUUUUUAUAAUUUUUAAUUUUUAAAAUUUAAUUAAUUCUUAAAUGUAACAUCUGCGUGAUAAUCUAUGUGUAUAUCACAUUCGUAAAUAUUGGAGUGAUUUGACAAAUAUUGUAAAUUUAAUGAUUAAAAGAGAUGAAAAAAAUAAAUAAAAAACUAAAAUGACUUUUUUUAUAAAGUUAGAGGAUUAAAUAAAUCAUUAUACCUAUAUAUUUUUUAAACUUUUGAAUUAAGCUUUUAACUUUAUUUUUAAUUAAUUUUAUUUUUAAAUAUCUUUUGAAAUAAAAAAAUGAUAUAAAAUUUAAAAAAAUUGUAUAAAUUUUUUUUCCUUAGAGAGCGAAGAGUAGACAUUUCACGUUGUUUAUGGUGGGCCCAUUGAAUUGACCAAACAGGGCGUGAAUUUGGUGGAGAAGUCGUACAAUUAUUUUCAAUGUGAAUGUCCCACACGCUUUUGCAGUUUAAACUUUUAAAGUAAUACUCAGCCUACAAGUUUCACGCUUUUGCAGUCUAAAUAAUAAACUCAGCCUACAAGUUUCACACUUUUGCAGUUUAAAGUAGUACUCAGCCUACAAGUCUCUAAGAGAGAAGCAAAUGCAAGGCCAAUUCACUUAAAAACAAUAGCUUUACUCAUAAUCCAAAAAUCUCUCAUCAAAUCCGGUGGAAUAUGCUUGCUUCAACAUCUUCUUCUUCUUCAGCUGCUGCUGCUGAUAUGAUCAAAGCAAGGACAUACGAUGUUUUUAUUAGCUUCAGAGGCGAGGAUACUCGUGAUGGUUUCGUAAGUCAUCUGUAUAAAGAUUUGUGUCGAAAGAAUAUCGACACUUUUGUCGACAGCGAGAAGCUUCGAAGAGGAGAUGAAAUUUCAGAGGCACUGUUGACGGCCAUUCAAGGAUCGAGUGUUUCAGUCAUUGUUUUCUCCAAAGACUACGCUUCUUCCAAAUGGUGUUUGGAUGAACUUGUGAAGAUCAUGGACUGCAACAAAUGUGUUGUUCCUGUAUUUUACGGUGUAGGCCCCUCAGAUGUACGGAAACAAAGAGGGAAUUUUGCAGAUGCAUUGGCAAAGCAUGAAGAAAAUUUCAAGCAUGAUGUUGAAAAGGUGAAAUCCUGGAGAACUGCUUUGACUUCAGCUGGCAAUUUAUCCGGUUGGGAUUCAGGAAAGAUUCGGUAAUUGCAACUCCUUUUCAUUAAAAUCAAUCCUUUUUUCUUCUUUAUAUUCUAUAUAUAUAUAUUGAUUUGGAAACAGAGAGAUUCAAACUCUUGACUUCUUUUCAUUUAUCCUCUUAUCCCAUUUCACGUUUUCAUUAAUUUUUUUUAUUAGUUUAAUUUAAUCAAUUUUAGUAUAAUUUAAAUCCAUAAUGUUCAUAAAGUGCAGGGGAUAAUCUAUCUUAAAAGGACCAUACUUUUGUAGACAGAGAGAGUGGGCACAUUGUAGAAAAUAAAUGAAGAAAUUUAGUAACAUGCGAAGCAUUUAUAUUCAACAGUGUUCUUCUUUGCUUCCUUUUCCAUGUUUCCUUCUUUAACUCUUAACUUUUUACACCUUCGUACGAUUCUCUUAUGUAUAAAAUAUACUGUCCAGUCCAUUGAUAUAUUUAUUUUCAAAGAAAUAUAUGAGUACAUAAAAAAGGUUGUAGAUGGUGAAAUUUGAAUUAUAGAUCUAUUUUUAAAAGAGAUCAUAUGAAUCAAUUUAGUUAUUUAUUUAUGUAUUCUUUUUAUUUUUUCCAUAAUUUGUUUCUUCAUUUGAUAUAUAGGCCUGACUCAGAACUGGUAGAUAAGAUUGUGAAAGAUAUAUUGAAGAAAUUGAAUCGUGGAACUUCAAGUGCUAAUUUAGAGGGUUUAGUUGGAAUUGAGAGGCGGAUGCAGAAAGUUUUGUCAUUAUUUCAAGACAAAUUCCCAGAUUUUCGAAAGCUAGGUAUUUGGGGCAUGGGAGGUACAGGCAAAACUACACUUGCUGAAGCCAUUUUUCACCAUGUUUUAAAUGGUUUCCAAAGCUACUUCUUUCUUGCAAACGUGAGAGAAUCAGAUGAGAAAGGAACAUUAUCUCAAUUACGUCAGACAUUUUUUUCGGCCAUAUUGGAGGAUGAAAAUUUAUAUAUCUCAACUCCCACAAUUGGAUCAAGCUUUCUUAAGGAUAGGCUUUCUAGGAAGAAGGUUUUGGUAGUUUGUGAUGAUGUGUCAAAGUUAAGCCAACUCGAGUAUUUAUUCGGAGGAAACAAUCGACUCGGCCCUGGAAGUCGAGUCAUCGUUACAACUAGGGAUAAACAAGUGCUUAUCCAGUAUGGCAUUGAUUUCAUUUAUGAAAUGGAGGAAUUAGAUGACGAUGAAUCUAUUAAGCUCUUUUGUCAACGUGCCUUCAAAAGCAAUCAUCCCACAGAAUUUCAUCAGUUGAAGCUAUCACAGAUGGUUUUAAGUUUUGCUAAUGGAAACCCUUUAGCUAUUAAAGUUAUCGGGUCCUCUCUUUGUGGCAAGACACAAAGCUACCAGGAAAGUGAAGCAAAGAAACUAAAGCAAGUUCCUAAGCCGGACAUUCAAAGACUGUUGAAAUGGAGUUUUGAUGGACUAGAAUGUGAAGAGAAAGAAAUGUUUCUUGACAUUGCUUGUUUCUUUAAAGGGGAGGACCGAGACUUUGUAACAAGGAUUAUGGAAGCUUGUUAUCUUUCUGCAUAUUCAAGAAUUGAAAACCUCAUUGAUAAAUCUCUUAUAUAUGUUUCAGAAAAUGCGAUAAAAAUGCAUGAUUUAUUGCAACAGAUGGGUUGGGAUAUCGUUUACAACGAAUCACCUUCAGAGCCUGAAAGACGCAGUAGGCUGUGGAUUCCUGAUGACAUCUAUGACGUGCUAAUAGAAAACAGUGUAAGAGCCUUAUUCAUUUCCUUCACUUACGUUACUAUCACUCUUCUUUUUCUCUUAGCAUGACAAAUAGGGUGAGUAUUUGUUUGAGUUGAGUCGAAUUGAGUAAAAAAAAUUCGAAUUAGUCAAGUUGAUGAAUCCUAUUUUAACAACCGAACUUAAUUUGAAUUUUUAUUUGGGUUAAAAAAUCUCUUUUAUCAAAAAUUUACUUAAAUUAAUUCUAUGCGCUUAUAGCUAGUCAGACCUACGAGGAACGAUUAGGAGAUUUCACUCUGAUCUAAGUCUAAUAGCGACUUGCAAAUUCCUUUGAAAUAUCUGUUGAAUCUGAUGCCUUCGAGAAUUCAACCCUAUUCUCAGAUAUAGAUAGCAUGCGUUGCUCCGACAAUGUACUAUGCCAUCAUGCAUUUAGAUUCGAUAAUUGAGUCGAGAGUGAAAUGUCACAUUUGUUAGGAUACUUGUUAAAAUGUUAUUGGAUACAUAUACUAUCUCACAAUUAUCUUGAAUUUGAAUAACAUAAUUCUUAUUUUGCAUAUAUCUUGGCACCUUAUUCUGACACACUGCUCUUGAUUUUAGGGAACAAAAACACUCAAAGGCAUGCUACUUGACAUGUCUAGAAUUCCAAAAUUGGAAUUAAGAGCAGAAGCCUUUGUGAAGAUGCGAAAACUUAAAUUCCUCAAGUUCUAUCUUCCUUCUACGUUUGGAAGGGUUCAAAUGAAAUCCAAAAUCCUCCUCCCUCAAGGGUUUUUAUCACUUCCUAAUGAGCUAAGGUACCUUUAUUGGGAGGGAUACCCUUUGAAAACUUUACCUGCCAGUUUUGAUCCAAGGAACCUAGUUGAACUUGAUAUGAGAGAUAGCAAUGUCGAACAACUCUGGGAGGGAAAACAGGUACUCAUUUUACUUUCUUUCUUUCUUUAUAUAUGUUAGAAUUGAACAUCGAUAAUGGCAAUGAAUCACAAAGAAAAGAAGAAAAAUAAAAUCCACAUAUUUUACAUGAAAACUCUAUCGGGGGAAAAAAUCAUGGGCAGAGGAGAAGAAAAUUCACCGAAUUCAAAUAAUACACGAGAGGAGUAUAGACUACGUUUUUUAUUAUAGGUUUAUAAAAUCAUAUUCUAAUCAAAGUCAAAUAGACGUAAUACAGUAAACUUCUAUACGGAUUUCACUUCGACCCUCGACCUUUGCCCUCACAGACCCCCUACCUUGUCACUAUAUUUAUUUUUAACGUGAAUUUGGCUAACAAUAUAUAUACCUCGUUCUCUAUGAUGUUUUGUAGAUUGAUGUAAGCAUUUUUGAAACUAAUUCCAUUGUCAUUUAUUGAUUCUACAUAUUUGUUAUGUUUUCAUAAUAGCAUAGGAAAAAGACCACUUCCAAUAUGACUAGUGUUUAAGUUAUUUUUGCAUUAAAAAAAAAGGAGUUGUAAGAUUAAUAUAUUAGGGCUAUAAAAUUUAACUAUAUUGUUAAUCCAAGCUUUUGUUUGAGCUUGAGUUGUUGAGCAAGUUAAAUUUGAAUAUCCUAAUAUUUAACUUAAUUUAUUAGCUAUCAUUUAAUUUCUUUAUCAUAUAUCUAUCUAUAUAAGCUCAACUAAAAAUUUAUUAGAAGUGGUUGACCACAACAUCCUUCCAAAUUAAAAUAUUUAAUUUUCUUAACAUAUCUUAUUAUUUUGAUGUACAUAGAGUAAUUUUUCUAUUCAAAUUUUGAUUUAAUAUUUUUAAUUAUUGGGCUCUUUAUAUUUUAAAACUGCUUCAAACAUUUUAUUAUAUAUACUAAUUUUUUUAUCUUUGCAAUGCACAAACUUACUAUGUAUAUAAGUUAAUUAUAAUAAGUAAAUUUAAAUAAUUUACUCUGUGUAUUAGUGUAAGGGAUUUAAAAUUGUUAUAAACUAAAUCAUUAUAAAGUCAAGUUGGCAAUGCAAUAUGUUGAAUAUCAACAUCAACUUAUUGAAAAAUAGUAUUUAUUGUUGUACAAAGUUUAGCCAUUGUCUUUAGUUAUUCAGCACUUAGUCUUUUAAGUAUUUUGUUAGUAGGGCAAUGAAUCUCAUAUUAGUUAGGAACAAAAAGAAAAGAGAUUAUGAGUCUAUAUAAGAACCAUAUCCAACAUUGUUUAGAAAAAACAAGGGAAAGGAGACUUUUGGUCUAUAUAAUGAGCUAUGUUAUAAGACUUAUUUGCACCAACCAAAUAUUAGAUUUUCUAUUUGGCUUCUUUAAAUUCAUCUUCUUUUUCUUAUUUUGGAUUAUUGGGGGCUGUAGGUAAAUAUUAGUUUAGUGAUGUCGUGGGCUAUCGUGCACAUUAAAAAAUAAACUUUCAUAGCUACUUGAAAAUUAUCCUUAGUUGUUUAGUUGUUGGAAGGAAAUAUGGUAGUGUGGAAUUGCAUGUCUAGGAAAGGUUCUGGUUGAGGAAACGGUUGGUAUUUAAGAGUGUCCGUUGUGACCUAUCUUUUUUUCCUGGGAACCUACCUGAUGCAUUUUUCAUGAACUACUUUCACGAUUCCAAUAUUUAGUUGUGAGACAUUUGUUGACAAGAUGACAGACCCACAAGUUGUUAGCGAAAUGAAUAAGCUUAAUAACAAUUAUAAUUCAUGGUCAACUUGCAUAAUGUCUUGUAUAUGAGAGGUUGUUAAUGGCAGUGAAGUGAUGCAACCGAAAGCUGAGGAUGCAAGUGGCACACUAGGAAAAUGGAAAAUAAAAGCUGGCAAGACAAUGUUCGCCUUAAAGACAACCAUUUAAGAAGAUGUGUUAGAAUACAUAUGUGAUGCUAAAAUCCUGAAGGAAGCUUGGGAUAUGCUCCCCAAGUUAUUCUCUAAAAGGAAUUAUGCGAAGCUCUAACUUCUAACUUACCAGUAGCACAUGUUAGUAACACAAUAGUUUCCCCUCAACAUAAUAAGAUCAAGGUAGCACUUCAAAAUGUCUAUCAUAUGCUAGGUAUGAGAAAAAAAUCUUGUUUCAGUAGCACAACUAACAUCUACUGGUCAUGUUGUUUUGUUUGGUCCACAAGAUGUGAAAGUAUACCACAAUCUUGAGAAUAUAAAAGAGCUAAUGAUGAAAAGACAAAGAUUAAAGUAAGUCUAUGUGAUGUCAGAAAUUGUAUAUGUUGACACGGCAAGAAGAAAUAAGACGAUGGACUUGUGACUCAUGCAACUAAGUCACAUCAGCUAUUCUAAGAUAGAUGUGAUGGCGAUGAGAUCAAUGUUGAAAGGACUCCCAAAACUUGAAGUGAGAACAAACACAAUAUAUGUGGGUUGUCAAUAUGGAAAAGCACAUCAAUUGUUGUAUGAAGAGUCCAAAUUUAAAGUGAAAGAACCAUUAGAGUUAAUCCACUUUACGUGUCUAGGCAUGUUAAACAAGCCUUCAUGAGUGGAUGAAGUACAUGGUGACCUUCAUUGAUGAUUGUUCCAGUUAUUUUAUGAAGAAAAAUUUAAGGAUCUUUCAAAGUUCAACGAGUUUAAAGGGGUUGUGGAAGUAGAGGUUGUUAAAAGUGUCUGUUGUCUACACAUUGAUGACAAGGGAGAGUACAUCUCAAAUGAGUUUUUAGGUUUCGUUCAAGAAUGUCGGAUAUGCCAUCAAUUCACAUGUGCUAACACUCCACAAUAAAAUGGUGUGGCGGAAUGGAAAAGUAGGCACUUGGCCGAAAUAUGUCAAAGUGUGCUUCAUGCAAAGAAUGUUCCGAGUCUUUUUAUGGCAGAAACAAUGAAAACUGCAGCCUUCGUGACCAAUACUAGGCUUCCUUAAUAAAGGUUAAGUUUUCUUUCUAGUGCAGUAACCUUUUCAUGGUAUGGCAAAAGACAACCAUUAGUAUCUUUGUAAACAAUGGAAGCAGAGUACCGUGCAGGGGAGAUAAUAGCUCAAUAAAGCACUUGACUUUUGCAACUAUUGGUGGACUUGCAUCAACCGGUGGAGACUCCAAUUCCUUUAUAUUGCGACAACGUGUCAACAAUACGCUUGGCAGAGAAUCCAGUCUUUCAUGAAAGAACUAAACAUGUAGAUGUGCAUUAUCAUUUUAUUAGAGAAAGUCUUGCAAGAAGAAAUCAAGCUAGAACAUGUCAGACCGAAGACCAAGUUGCUGACCUGCUCAGAAAAGGCUUGUGUGGCAGCAAGCUCGGAAGCUUCUGUCAUCAGCUGGACAUGGUAAAAGUUGGUGUUAAGAGGGGAGUGUUGAAUAUCAACUCCAACUUAUUGGAAAAUAUAUUUUGCUAGUGUUUAUUGUUGUACAAAGCUUAGCUAUUUUCUUUAGGUUUUAGGUGCCGAGUUUGCUCUUAAGUCUUCUAUUAGUAGGGAAGUAAUGAAUCUCACAUUGUUCAGAACAAAAAGUGAAGUGAGUAUAAGUAUGUAGAAAGAUCAUAUCUCACUUUGCUUAAAAAAAUAAGGGAAAAGGAAUCUAAAGAAUUAGUAACACUAUAUAUAAUCUACUAUGCGUCAUGAGAAUACUACCCAUUCAAUUGUUUGUCUAACAAAUAGGUGACAAAAUUUUUUAUGUUUAAUAGAUGGAUUUGAAUCAAUUGAUGAUUAUAUAUGUAGUUUAUUAAUAACAUUAGUUAUUCUUUAUAACUAAAAAUAUGAUUAUAAAAUAAUAAUAUAUUGAAAAUAUCAUAAUAAUAAACUAUUUAUAAUUUAAAUGUAUAUCGAAAAAUAAAAUAAAAAGAGAUUAUAUAUUUACUUUUAUUGAUAGUAUCCUUUAAUUUUAUUAUAUUUAUUUGUAUUUUGAAAUUAAUAUAAUAUAAGAUCAUUUUUAUUUUUAUUUAUAUAAUUGUUUUAAUUAUAGCUGUUGAAUGUAGAGAUUUUUGUCAAAUACUACGUUGUGAUGCAUGCAGGAUUUAGUAAAUUUGAAGGUUAUCAGUCUCUUCUGUUCUAAGAACCUUGUAAGAAUCCCAGACCUCUCCAACGCCACCAAUCUUGGAAAGAUAUACCUUAACCGGUGUUUUAACUUGUGUGAGCUUCCUCCAUCCCUUCAGCAUCUUGAGAAGCUAACUCAUUUGGACUUCAGUUACUGUAAAAAUAUUAGAUCUCUGCCUAGCUUGUAUAAAGCCACAUCCCUCACCAAACUUGAUCUUAGUGGCUGCUCAAAUCUGUUAAGUUUUCCAGAGGUUUCAUCGAAUGUAACAGAGCUAUGGUUAGAUGGAACUGCAAUUGAAGAAGUUCCUUCCUCCAUCGAAUGUCUCUCUAAUCUUCGUGUAUUCAGCCUAUGGGGAUGCAAGAGGCUUAAAUCUCUCCCCACAAGUAUUCAUAAAUUGAAAUCUCUUGAAAAAUUCAAUCUUAGAGAUUGCUUAAGAUUGGAGACUUUUCCAGAAAUCUUGGACAUCAUGGAGAGGUUGAGAGAUCUUGAUUUGAGCGGAACGGCUUUGAAGGAAUUACCAUCUUCAAUUGACAAUUUUAUUGGUCUUGAAUAUUUGAGAUUGAACAACUGUGAAAACCUUAUUUGUCUUCCUAACGGCUUUUAUAAAUCGAAAUCUCUUUGGGGACUUGAUAUUUGUGGUCGUUCAAAUCUUGUUGUAAAAAACUUGUUUUCUGCCAUUGGAGGCAGACCAGUGAAGCUGAAAGAUCUCCACGGGUUAUCCUCAUUGUACAAAUUAGAUUUAUCUGAAACCAAUCUUGAGAGCUUACCUACAACCAUCAAACAAUUUCCUUGGCUGCAAGAGUUAAUCUUGUGGAAUUGCAAGAGAUUGAAAUCAUUACCAGAGCUUCCCCCAAGCCUAGGACAUUUGGAUGCAGAUAGCUGCACUUCACUAGAGGAAGUGUCCAGCAUUAAAAAGCUUUUUGAGCAAGCACUGUUCUGUCAAGAUGAACCAUAUCGAUGCUUGAAGUUGAUAUUUACCAAUUGCUUCCAACUGAAUGAGAAAGGUGUGGGGAAUCAUGGAACACCAAAGUUGGAGACGCCAUUUAAGCAAACGGUGAAUGUACUAAAAGAUUAUCAUAAGGUCAGCUUCUUCUUCUUCUAUAUAUAUCUUCAAUGUGGACAAUUGAUAUUUAUAUGCAUUGCUGAAUAAUCUAUCAUGUUUCUGAUAAUUGUAAUUGAACAGGCAUCCCCUCAGAGACAUAAGUUUAUUACAUGCGUCCCUGGAAGUGAAAUCCCGGAAUGGUUUGAUUUCAAGAGCUUAGGAUCUUCCAUAAACAUCCAAUUGCCUUCAGAGUGGUGGAUAAACUUUCCAUCUUUUGUUGCUUCCGUCGUUGUUUCAUUCCCAGGGCGUUAUAAUGGUAGGAAUUUUGGCAUUAGAUGUGAAUGUCAUCUAAAAUACUAUAAUGGCGACAGUCAUGACCUUACUUGUUCAUUCUCCCUUUGGGGGGUGGGAGUACUAAACCAUGAAGACCGAAUGUUUGGGUGGGAUCACAUGUUCCUCUUAUAUGAUGAUUUCAAAGUUUGGGAGUUCGUUGAAAGCCAGGCAUCAAACAAGUGCAUUUACAAUGAGGCUUCCUUUAAAUUCUACCCUCUUCAUUAUGGGUCGAAACUAAGGAAUAGUUCUUUGGAGAUAAAACAGUGCGGGGUUCAUCUAUUAUUUGCAAAUUAAGGAUUCAAUGUAUGACAUCUCAAUGAUGCUUCAUAUAUUUCAUCUGCAGUGAAUUUCAAACCCUAAAUAUGUUGUUAAUAUAUAUUUUGUUAAUAUAUAUUUAUCAUAGGUUUUAUUUAUAAAUGUUUAUUUUUCACUCAAAUUUUUAUAUCUUUUUUUUUUUCAUUUUUCAUUUCCUUUUGUUCAAACACAAUUAGAAAUUUAAGGCAUAUCUAAAUGGAUUUAAAUAAAUAUUUAUAACUCAAUGGACAUACUUUAAAAAUAGUAGAAAAAGUUCUAAAUAAAAUUAUAUAAUAAAUCAUAUUUUAUAUUAUUUUUAAGAUAUAAGUGAUUUUUUUUGUCCAAAAUAAAAUAGAUUGCAGUUUUGAAUCAUGAACCAAGAAGAAAAAAAAAAAGACAACAAUUAAUAUUUUUGACUAUUUAUAUAACUGGAUAUAUAUAUAUAAUACAAAACUUAGUUAAAUGGCAAGAUUCAACCUUGAGAAAUUUUUUGGUAAGGCAACAUUGAGAAAUUUAACAUCUUGUAAUAAUUGACUUUAUUAAAACAUAAACAAAAGAAAACAUAGUUCAAAAUUUUGGGUUUUGUUCUUGUGCUAUGAUUCUUUCUUUUGCUAAGUUUUUUUCCCCUCUUUUACCAAGAGGCUAAAAUCUAAAGAUUACAAAAGAACUAAAAUAUUUUAGGAAUAAUAUUUGAUGUGUCGUUAAUUAGUACAUAAAUUUCAUGUACUUUUAUUAAAUAAUAACAUGACAUGUCAUUAUUAAGUUAAACAAAAAAAUAUGAAAGAUUUUUAAAUAAAUAGUAAUAAUUUUAUUUAAACAUGAUUAAACAUUAAUAGCAACUAUUAUAAAUAAAUAUUAAUAAAUCUAAAAUUUAGGGUAUCAAGUUUAAGGGUCUUGAGUUUAAAGUCUAAAGGUAGUAUUUAUUUAUAAUUAAUUACUAUUUAAUGUUUAUAUUGGAGUCGUUUUUAACACAUAUGUGCAUGGGAAUAUGACUCUAAAAAUAUUUCUAAAUAUAUAGAAAAGUUUAAGGGAAUAAUUUAUAUUAGGAUGAUCCUAAUAACUAAAAUUUUUAGGCACCAAUAAAUUUUAAAGACAUGAAAUUAUUAUUAUACACUCAUCUAUAGAGAAAUUAUUUUAUGGACUCUUCUCACCAUAUUAUUCAUGAUCUAUUUCCAAUUAUUUAAUAACAUUUUAACAAUUUUUAUGUCAUUGACACAUAAUUUUGGUAAUUUUUUACCCUGAACCCAAACCCAUAACCUUGAACCUUAAAUCUUGAACAUGAACCCACAACCUCAAACCCUUAAACCCUGAAUCUUAAACCCAAAAUUCAAACUCGAACCCUAAACCUUAAAUCUUGAACCCAAAUCCUAAACUUCGGGAUUCAAGGUUUAAGAUUUAGGGUUAGAGUUUAAGGUUCGAGAUAAAAUAAUUACCAAAAUUAUGUGUCAAUGACAUGGAAAAUAUUGCACUAAAAUUAUUAUUUUUAAAUUGGUUGCAUAAAAAAAUAACUUAUGGAAAAAAAUAUUAAAAUUUGUAAAAUGAGAAAAAAAAAUGUUUGUUUAUAAUUUGAAAAAUUAAUUAUUUUAAGUAAUUUAAUUAAAGUUAAAUUAAGUUGGAAAAGAUAUUAGAUAUAAAUGAGUAUAUAAUAAUACUUUGUUAUCUUUAAAAUUUAAUGACAUGGUACUAUUUAAUUGGUGUCUAAAAACUAUAGAUGAUCCUAAUAUAAUUUAUUCCCAAAAUUUAAAUAUAUUUAUGUCGGACACAUGUAUAUAUAUAUAUCUAAUAUUUAAAUCCGAUUCCAAACCACUAGAUUUUCAUCAGCCAAAACCUAAUCUUGUUUAAAAAUUUGCAAAACUAGUUUUUAUCACUUCUUAGAGGAGCACAAUCAAACAUAUUCUCAAACUGCGCACUAAUCUCUCAUUACCCUUUUUAAGAAAUGAGAAUUGCAUUAUUUUUUAGAGCAUCGUUUCUUACAAACUAUAUAUUCCAUUAUCACCAGAAGCUCCAUUGCUGCAACAAAAUUAUUUUGUUUGUAAAUAUUCGUUUUGAAUGGUAGAUAUUAUGUGAUGGUAUGAGGAGGGUAAAUACAUGUUAUACUAUUUUUUCUUUAACAAUGCAUCUGAGAAGGUUUUUAAUAAUGCAUCAUGUUAUACGUAUUAUAAAUAUAUGUACUCUUUUUCUUCAUUAGAAAAUUUUUUCCACAUGAUUUUUAUGUUAGUAAGGUUUUAAUGAGACACAUUAUCUAUCAAUAGACAUCAAACGAAAAACGUUAUGAAUAUUUUAUUAUUAAGUGAAUGUCAACAAUAUCAAGAUAAGUUUGAUAUACUCUUGUAAUAGUCAUUAGAAGUAGAAUUUUGUUUUAUUUAUAUUUUUUAUGUCCAUAAAUAAAAAAUUUAAAAAAGCAUAAUAAACAUUUUUAUUGAUGUAACAUUAAUGUGACAAUCUAUGUCUAUAACAAAUAAACAUGAUAGUAUAAAAAAUUGAUGUGAUAAAUGUAAUGUGUAAAUAAAAUUAACACAGACAAAAUUAAGAAUAAAAUUAAAAAAGAGUCAAAAUAUUAAAAUAAAAAUUAUUAUAAAUUAAUAAACCAAUUCAUUAAUAAAAAAAAAUAUUUUUUUUAAUUCUAUAAGUUUGAUUUAGGCAUUUAAAUUUUUUUGUUAACUCUAUUUAUAAUUUUUAAAUAUAAAUUGAAAUAAAAAUUGUAUAUUUUUUUACUUUUAACUUGGGAGGAAGGGUUAAAACAUUAUAGUAUAAAUGGUCUCCGAAGACUCAGCUUUCAAUUUGUUGGAGGCUCUUAAAAGUAGUCCAAUUAUUUUCUGUCUAUGGUCCACACGCUUUUGCAGUUGAUGUAAGCGUAGUUGACUUAAAAAACAAUAGUUGUACUCAGAAUCCAAAAAUCUUUCAUCAAAUCCGGCGGAACACCAAUAUGCUUCCUUCAACAUCUUCUUCUUCUGCUGCUGCAGAUACGAACAAAGAAAGGACAUGCGACGUUUUCCUUAGCUUCAGAGGCGAGGAUACUCGUUGUAGUUUCGUAAGUCAUCUGUAUAAGGAUUUGUGUCGAAAGAAUAUCGGAACUUUUAUAGACAGCGAGAAGCUUCAAAGAGGAGAUGGAAUUUCAGAGUCACUGUUGACGGCCAUUCAAGGAUCGAGGAUUUCAGUCAUUGUUUUCUCCAAAGACUACGCUUCUUCCAGAUGGUGCUUGGAGGAGCUGGUCAAGAUCAUGGACUUCAAGAAGUUGAAAGGGCAUUAUUUUGUGGUUCCUGUAUUUUACGGUGUAGAUCCCUCAGAUGUACGGAAACAAAGAGGGAGUUUUGCGGAUGCAUUUGCAAAGCAUGAAGAAAAUUUCAAGCAUGAUGUUGAAAAGGUGAAAUCCUGGAGAAGUGCUUUGACUUCUGCUGCCGAUUUAUCUGGUUGGGAUUCACAAGUCACUCGGUAAUUGCAACUCCUUUUCUUUACAUUCUAUCCUUUUUUAAUUGUUAUUGUUAUAUAUAGAGAGAGAGAGAGAGAGAAUUUUGAAGUUUUUUUUUUUUUUUCACAUUUGAUUAUUUUAUUGGAUGAUGUAGUUUAUAAAAAAGAAAUGUGAAAUAGGAUAAGGGGAUAGAUAAAAUGAUAUUAAAGAAGCUAAAGUCACAAAAAGAAUUUUUGACUUGCCAAACAUAGAAUAUAGAAUUAAUGUAUAGUACAAGAAUCAAAAUAUGUAUAUACUACCCUGUUCGAGUUGAGGGUGGAUAUUUGACAUGAAGGAUAAUUUUUACAAUUUUACCAUAUUUUAAAGCUUAAAAUUUUCUAUUACUAGAUUUAAUUUUUAUAUUUUAAUUUAAUUAUUUUAGUUCUUAUAUUUUUUUAAUUGGUCAAUUUAGUUCCUAUAUUUUUUAAAUUUUAAAAUUUUAGUUUUGACCUAAACCAUAGCAGUUAAGUUCAUUUAGGAUUUGUUUAUUUAACUGAAAAUGACUUUCUUAAAAAUGAUUUACUUUUAUUGAGAAGCUAAUAUUUUUUAGAAUUUUCAAAAAAUGUCUUAUGCUUUUCAAGAGAGUAAGUCAUUUUGGGAAAAUACCUGUAAGUCAUUUUCUGUUGAUCAAAUUAUUUUCUGUGAAACAAAUAAACACAGGAAAAUACAAAAAAAUAUUUUUUGUAAAACAUUUUACAUGUAAACAAACAAACAUUUGGUUAAACUCAAUUACUAGUCAUGUAUUAUGCAUACAGUUCUAGAUUUAGUAUAUUAUUCAAUUGGAUCAUUUUAAGUCAUUAUAUUUUCAAAUUUUGAAAUUUUAAUCUUGAGGCAAAUAAUAAUUGUUAACCUAUAGUGGAAAUUACAAGCUGGCCUGACAUUACAAAUAUAUGAUAGGUUUGUUGCAUUAGAUUUGAAAAUGACAAAACUUAAUUAAUGAAUUUAACAAUUAUCAUCUGGUAAGUACUGGAAUUUUAUAAUUUGAAAAGUAUAGAGAUUAAAAAUAACCAAAUUAAAGUAUAGAGAUUAAAUCCAUAAAUUUCAUAAAGUGUAGGCUAUCUAAAAUUCCUUUUAAGUUUUCCAAAUAUUAAAAAAACAUGAAAAUGCAAAAAAAAGAAAAGAAAAGAAAUAUAUAAAAAAAUUGAAAAAAAAUCUAUUCUUCUUUAAAUAUCAAGUUUAUUAUAUUAUUUUCUUUACCCUCACUUUCUUUUCCUUUAAAUAUAUAUUGAUUUGGAAGAAAAUAGAUUAAGCUUGGACCUUUUUUUCAAGCAGUGAUUCAUGUAUGUUACCCAGAUUGGAGUUAAGGGGCAGAUUCUGAAUAACAUGCCAAGCAUCUACAUUGAACAAUGUUAAUCAAUUGAAUACUCUUUAUCAUCUUUAUUUAUUUACUUAUGUUUCCUUUUUAUUUCUCCCAUAAUUUGUUUCUUCAUUUAAAAUAUAGGCCUGACUCAACACUGGUAGAUAAAAUCGUCAAAGAUAUAUUAAAGAAACUGGAUUGUAGAACCUCAAGCCCUAAUUUAAAGGGUUUAGUUGGAAUUGAGCGGCGGACGCAACAAGUUGUGUCAUUAUUUCAGGUUGGAGAUCUUCUAAAGCUAGGUAUUUGGGGUAUGCAAGGUAUAGGCAAAACUAAACUUGUUGAAGCAAUUUUUUGCCAUGUUUUAAAUGGUUUCCAAAACCACUCCUUUCUGGCAAACGUGAGAGAACAUAAAGAAUCAAGAAAUUUAUCCCAAUUGCGUCAGAAAUUUCUUUCAGACAUACUGGAAGAUGAAAAUUUAGAUAUCUCAACACCCACAAUCAUACCAAGCUUUGUUAAGGACAGGCUUUCUAGAAAGAAGGUUUUAGUAGUUUGUGAUGAUGUGUCAGAGUUAAGCCAAUUCGAGUUUUUAUUCGGAGGAAUCCGAUCGGUUCGGCCGUGGAAGUCUACUCAUUGUUACCACUAGAAAUAGGCAAGUGCUUUUCCAGUGUGGCAUGAAUCUCAUUUAUGAAGCCAAGAAAUUAAAUAAAUAUGAAUCUAUUCAGCUCUUUUGCCAACAUGCCUUCAAAAGCAAUCAUCCUAUAGAAUAUCAGUUGGGGCUAUCACGGAUGGUUUUAAGUUUUGCUAAUGGAAACCCAUUGGCUAUUAAAUUUUUCGGGUCCCCUCUUUAUGGAAAGAACAAGAACUACCAGGAAAGAGCAGUAAAAGAACUAAAGCAGAUUCCUAACCCAGACAUUCUUAAAUUGUUCAGAAGCAGUUUUGAUGGACUAAAUCCUGUAGAGAAAGACAUAUUUCUUGACAUUGCUUGUUUCUUUAAAGGGGAGGAUCGAGACUUUGUAACAAGGAUUAUGGAGGCCUGUUAUCCUUCUGCAUAUUCAAGAAUUGAGAACCUCAUUGAUAAGUCUCUCAUAUAUAUUUCACAAAAUAAAAUAGAAAUGCAUGAUAUAUAACAACAGUUGGGUUGCAAUAUUGUUCACUAUGAAUCACCUUCAAAGCCUGAAAAUCGCAGUAGGCUGUGGAUUCCUGAAGAGAUCUAUGAUGUGCUAACAAAAAACAAUGUAAGGGACUUGUUCAUUUUCUCUGAACAAAUCCAUGUUUGACAGUCAUGUUUUAGUCUUAUUCGAACACACAUCUUUUUAUUAAAUACAUACAUGCAUAUGAUAAUUAUCUUGAAUUAAUAUAUUGCCUAUAUUUUGACUCCAUAAACUGCUCUUGGGUUUAGGGAACGGAAACGCUCACAGGCAUUGUACUUGAUAUGUCCAAACUUGAAAAGUUGGAAUUGGAACCAAUAGCAUUUAUGAAGAUGCGGAAGCUUAGAAUCCUCAAAUUCUAUAAUUCGUGUGGAAGAACCUUACUUUUUAAAGAGCUUUUAUCACUUCCUGACGAGCUAAGGUACCUUUGCUGGGAGGGAUAUGAUGGGAAGAAACCGAACAACCGAAACAAAGCGAAAGCACAACCGGUGUUCUUUCUCUCCUUAUAACUCCUGUAAAAAAUUAUGGCAAGCACAAUAGCACAAGAUAUGUUCUCUAGCAACCUUAAUCAACCACAAAUCAACUAAUGCAACCACAACAAAAAUAAAUAGAGACACCAAUAUUUUUACGUGGAAAAACCCCUCUAAAUUAAGGGUAAAAACCACGGGACUUUAGAGUCCGAUAAAGAGCUCCACUAUCAUCAAAUGUUCAACUACAAGAUCACAAUAUCAAGCCUACAACAAGCAUUCAACUCCGACAAGGCUAACAACAUGUAAUCUUUAGCAAAAGAGAGAAAAAUGAGAGAACAUCACCAAAAACGUAGCUACUGAAAAAUGGGUAUUUCCGACGCUACAAGACUCGGAUGAAAAAUCCGACCGUACAAAGUCAAGAACACCUUAUCACCUAGCUGCUGUCCAAAAAUCAGCUCAAUCGAACCACGGAUGGACCUUCGAUCGAAGAGUUGAUCACUGCUGCACCAAGCUUGAAAAUCUGAUUUUUUCUAUUCUCUUUCUCUCUAUUUUUCUUUUAGCUCUCUGCAGAAAAAUUUCUGCCCACUCCCGUUAAUAAGCCAAAAAGAAUUGGCUUUUGACAAAACCAAAAGAAAAAGGGAAGGCAAAACAUUUGUGCCAGAAAAUAUGGGUUUCCCACAUAGUGGGACCCAUACCCAACAAAUCUCCCCCUCCAACUAUGUGGGGAAUGCCUCCAUACCGGAGGUCAAACAACAUGCUUCAAAUUUUCCUCUUGGUAAGGCCUUCGUCAACAUAUCAGCACCAUUAUCAUUAGUGUGUAUCUUCUCAAGCUCUAACAACUUAGCUUCAAGAACAUCUCGUAUCCAAUGGUACCUCACAUCAAUAUGCUUAGAUCUAGCAUGAAAAGUUGAGUUCUUACCAAGAUGAAUAGCACUCUGGCUAUCACAGUACAGGACAUACUUCUCCUGAGUAAAACCAAGCUCAUGCACAAACUUCUUCAUCCAAAGCAUCUCCUUACACGCUUCGGUUGCUGCAAUGAACUCUGAUUCGGUGGUGGACAAUGCAACACACUUUUGCAGUCUCGAUUGCCAUGCCACAGCUCCCCCUGCAUAAGUGAUUAAGUAACCUGAAGUAGAUCUCCUCGAGUCAAUGUCUCCAGCCAUGUCUGAAUCUGUAUACCCAACAAGAACAGGUUUCUCAUUGCCGAAACAAAGUUUCAUGUUGGAAGUGCCACGAAGAUAUCUCAUAAUCCACUUCACUGCAUUCCAAUGCUCUCUGCCUGGAUUAGAAAGAAACCGACUAACUGUACCAACGGCAUAAGCCAAGUCUGGUCUCGUGCAAACCAUUGCGUACAUCAAACUACCCACGGCUGAAGAGUAAGGAAUUUUCUGCAUCUCUUCCUUCUCCUUUUCUGUGGAAGGACUAUGCUUAACACUCAAUCUGAAGUGCAUAGCAAAGGGAGUAUUCACCGCUUUAGCUUUGUCCAUACUAAACCUUUGAAGUACUUUCUCAAUGUACCUCUCUUGUGAUAACCAUAAUUUCUUGGCCUUUCUAUCACGUGUCAGUCUUAUGCCAAGAAUUUGCUUUGCUGGCCCCAAAUCCUUCAUUGCAAAGGAUUUACUCAACUCUUGUUUCAACUUCUCAAUUCUAGAAGCAUUCUGACCAACAAUAAGCAUAUCAUCAACAUAGAGCAAAAGAAUAAUAAAAUCAUCACCAGAGAAUCUCUUAACAAACACACAAUGAUCAGAAGUAGUCUUCUUGUAGCCUUGCUCCCCCAUAACAGACUCAAACUUCUUGUACCAUUGCCUUGGAGCUUGCUUCAAACCAUACAGGCUCUUCUUCAAUCUGCACACAUAGUCCUCUUUCCCUUGUGCAACAAAACCCUCUGGCUGCUCCAUGUAAAGCUCUUCUUCCAAGUCACCAUGAAGAAAAGCAGUUUUCACAUCCAUUUGUUCAACCUCUAGGUCAUAACAAGCUGCCAAACUCAGUAUAGUUCUGAUAGAGGACAUCUUCACAACCGGAGAAAAUAUUUCUUCAAAAUCAACCCCCUUUUUCUGAGUAUAACCCUUGACGACCAAUCUAGCUUUGUAUCGUGGAGAUGAAGACUUCUCUUCUUGCUUCAACCUGUAAACCCACCGAUUCUUCAAAGCUCUUUUGCCUUUAGGCAGUUUCACCAAUUCAAAAGUAUGGUUCUCAUGCAAGGAUUGAAGUUCGCCAUUCAUCGCUUCAACCCACUGAUCUUUGCAUUCACUCUCCAUAGCCUCUUCAUAACAUUCAGGUUCUCCCCCGUCAGUCAAAAGAACAUAUUCAUCAGGAGAAUACCUGACAGAAGAUCGUCGAUCUCUGGAAGACCUUCGAAGUGGAACUGCUGGUGGAGCUAUAGGUGCUUGUUGUUGAUCAUUCACAACAUCAUCCAUGGGAGUAUCAAAGUCACCUAUAGUCUGAUGGUCACCACUAACAUCACCAUGCACAUCAUCCUGGAUAGGAUCUGGUGAAGAGUCUAAGGGAACCGGAUUCACAUCGAUCAAGUCACCACUACCUUGUGAAUCCACUUUCUCCGUCUUAUCAAUGUCAUCAAUGGUCUGAUCCUCAAUGAAGACAACAUCUCUGCUUCUCACGAGUUUCUUCUGAACUGGAUCAUAGAGUCUAUAACCAAACUCACCAUCUAGACCAUAACCAAUAAAAAUGCAUUGUCGAGCCUUGGCAUCCAACUUGGAUCUUUCAUCCUUUGGAACAUGAACAAAUGCUUUACAACCGAACACACGUAGGUGAUCAUAUGACACGUCUUUACCAAACCAAACUCUAUCUGGCACAUCACCUUUCAAAGGAACACUAGGAGACAGAUUUAUCACAUGUGUCACUGUAUUCAAAGCUUCAGCCCAAAACGAUCUUGGUAACUUUGCAUCUGACAACAAACAUCUGACUCUCUCAAUCAAUGUUCGGUUCAUUCUUUCAGCUAACCCAUUUAACUGUGGAGUCUUUGGUGGUGUUCUCUGAUGUCUGAUUCCCUGUCGCAGACAAUACUCAUGAAACGACCCUGUGUACUCGCCACCAUUAUCAGUACGAAUGCACUUCAACUUCUUCCCAGUUUCCCUUUCAACUGAUGCUUGAAACUGUUUAAACACCUCAAAGACUUGAUUUUUAGACUUCAAAGUGUAAACCCAUAGCUUUCUUGAACAAUCAUCAAUGAAAGUCACAAAGUAAAGUGCACCACCAUGUGAUCUUACUUUUAUCGGACCACAAACAUCUGAAUGGACCAACUCUAGCAACUCUGAUUUCCUAUGAGGAGGAUGGCUUCUAAAUGAAACUCUUUUCUGCUUUCCUGCUAGACAAUGAGCACAAUUCUUCAGUGUAGCAUUCUUUAAACCCGAAAGUUGAUUCUUCUUCGCUAAACAGCUAAGCCCCUUCUCACUCAUGUGACUGAGUCGUUUAUGCCACAACUCAGUUGAGUUGUCAUUCAGUGUCACAUUCACCGUCUCUCGAGAAGUCAAAGCUUGCAUCAAGUACAAAUUUGAGCUCUUCUUUCCUCGAGCCACAACCAAGGAGCCUUUAGUCAGCUUCCACUGCCCUUCACUGAAGGUGUUACAGAAUCCCUCAUCAUCAAGUUUUCCUGCAGAAAUCAAAUUCAAACGGACAUCCGGUGCAUGUCUGACAUCCUUGAGAGUUAACUUUGUUCCAUUGUUACUUACCAAGCUAACAUCUCCCAUACCAAUAACCGAAACCAAACCAUCAUUACCCAUCUUCAAUACCCCAAAAUCACCAGGAGUAUAAGAUGUGAAGAAUUCCUUCCUCGACGUGACAUGAAGUGAUGCACCAGUAUCAAUCACCCAACUAGUCUCGUCGCAUGCUAGGUUGACCAAAUUCUCAUCACAAAUAACUAACAGAUCUUCACGAGUAACAGUAGCAACACGCUCGAAUUUUUCAUCGUCAUUCCGAUCGUGUUUAUCACCACCACCUUUGUUCUCUUUCUUCCACUUGAAGCAAUAUUUCUUGAUAUGACCUUUCUUACCACAAUGAUGACACUCAAGAUUCUUGUAUCUCGAUCUUGACUUGCUUCGGCUUUUAUCUCUACCCUUUCCAUCUUUGUCUCUGUUUCUCCCCCUGUUCUCGAUAACCAACACCUCGGACUGUGAUGUAGAACCCUGAGAUCUUCUUCUAACCUCUUCAUUCAACACACCACUCUUAGCCAAAUCCAAAGUAAUAAUACCCUGUGGGGCAGAAUUAAUGAGUGAGACUCGAAAGGUCUCCCAAGAGUCUGGUAGAGUAGCAAGCAACCAAAGUCCUAAAAUCUCGUCAUCAAAUUUGACACCCAUACCAAGCAACUGAUUCAUCAUACUCUGAAAUUCACUAACAUGGUCAGCUAUAGACAUUCCUUCUUUAUAUUUCAGCGCCAUCAUUUUCUUCAGCAAAAAUAACUUGUUAUUGCCCGACCUCGAAGCAUACAAGCUUUCAAGCUUCUCCCACAAUGUUCGAGCAUGUGUCUCCUGAUCAAUGUGAUUGUAAACAUUUUCUUCAACAAAUUGCCGAAUAAAGCCACACACUUGUUGAUGCUCAAAUUCCCAUUCUUCAUCACUUUUCGAAUCGGGUUUUUGAGUAGUAAAGACCGGAAGAUGCAAAGCCUUCACAAACAACAAGUCCUUCAUUUUAUUCCGCCAAAGUUGAUAAUUUGUGCCAUUCAACAUAAUCAUCUUGCUCGUAUUAAUUUCCAUAAUUAUCUGACACAAUAACCAAGCUCUGAUACCAGUUUGAUGGGAAGAAACCGAACAACCGAAACAAAGCGAAAGCACAACCGGUGUUCUUUCUCUCCUUAUAACUCCUGUAAAAAAUUAUGGCAAGCACAAUAGCACAAGAUAUGUUCUCUAGCAACCUUAAUCAACCACAAAUCAACUAAUGCAACCACAACAAAAAUAAAUAGAGACACCAAUAUUUUUACGUGGAAAAACCCCUCUAAAUUAAGGGUAAAAACCACGGGACUUUAGAGUCCGAUAAAGAGCUCCACUAUCAUCAAAUGUUCAACUACAAGAUCACAAUAUCAAGCCUACAACAAGCAUUCAACUCCGACAAGGCUAACAACAUGUAAUCUUUAGCAAAAGAGAGAAAAAUGAGAGAACAUCACCAAAAACGUAGCUACUGAAAAAUGGGUAUUUCCGACGCUACAAGACUCGGAUGAAAAAUCCGACCGUACAAAGUCAAGAACACCUUAUCACCUAGCUGCUGUCCAAAAAUCAGCUCAAUCGAACCACGGAUGGACCUUCGAUCGAAGAGUUGAUCACUGCUGCACCAAGCUUGAAAAUCUGAUUUUUUCUAUUCUCUUUCUCUCUAUUUUUCUUUUAGCUCUCUGCAGAAAAAUUUCUGCCCACUCCCGUUAAUAAGCCAAAAAGAAUUGGCUUUUGACAAAACCAAAAGAAAAAGGGAAGGCAAAACAUUUGUGCCAGAAAAUAUGGGUUUCCCACAUAGUGGGACCCAUACCCAACAGGAUACCCUUUGAAAACUUUACCCUCCACGUUUCAUCCAAGGUACCUAGUUGAACUUGAUAUGAGUAGCAGCAAUUUGGAACAACUCUGGGAGGGAAAACAGGUACUCUUUUUUCUUUUGAUAUAAAUCUAUGGUGUUUUGUAGAUUGAUGCAAGCAUGUUUGGAACUAAUUCCAUUGCUAUUUCUUGAUUUUAUAAAGUUUCCUUUACAUAUCACUCUACGUCUUCAUAAUGUUCUCAUAAUAGCUGAGGAAAAAGACCAGUUUCAAUAUGAAUAGUGUUUUAAGUUAUUUUUGCAUUAAAAAAAGAGGAGUUAUAACAUUAAUUUAUUAGGGUUAUGUUUGGGGAAAAAAUCGAAUCCAAUUAGAAACCUUUAUAUUUCUAAACUCCUUGAAAUAUUUUAUUAUAUGUAUAUAUGUAAUUUUGUUACUUUAUUUAUACUUAAACUGAUAAAUAAUUAAAGUUAGAGUUUACAUUAUAUGGUGAAAUUAAUCAAAUUUAAAUCUAUAAUUUUUAUUAAUUUAUUUAAAUAUAAAAUUAUUAGACCUUUUUUAUUAGAGUAAAGAAAAGAAUUGUUUAAAUGCAAAAAUUUUAGACUUUAUUUAAAAGCAAAUUUUUUAUAGUAAAAUUAUCGGUUAUUUUUUAAAUGAAUAAUUUUAUUGAUGGGUCAUAUAUUAGUUUAAUUUUUUAAGAAAUUUAUAAUUAUGAGACAUUUAUGAUGUGGGUGAAAAAAAUUAUAAAAUAAUAAUAUAUGACAAAUAACAUAAUAAAAAAUAAUUUAUAAUUUAAACGACAUAGAGAAAAAUAAAAUAAAAAAGAUUAUAUGUUUACUUUUUUGAUAUUAUAUUUAUUUAUAAUUUGAAAUUAAUAUAAUAUAAUAUCAGGGACACAUGUUAUAAAAUAAGUAUCUAUUAUUUUUUAUGAAAUUUUAAUUAUUUGAAGUUGAAAAAUAAUGAGCCUAUCAAAGAAGCACCAUAAUUUCAAAUUUAUCUUAAUUUGAGCUUGAAUUUUAAAAGGGAACUUAAUGUAGAUUAAACCAAAAUUUGAGGGAUGAGUUGGAAUGAAGCUCAAACUUGUUGGUUCUAAUACUCACCUUAAUUAUACCAUUUUGAAGAUAGUUCAAUCUUUUGUUGUAAUGUGGUGAUUAUUUUGGUCAUACCUGUUGCAUUAUUGUUCUUCAAUGUAUAGAAAUUUAUCAAACACUGCGUUUUUAUGCUUGCAGAAUUUAGUAAAUUUGAAGGUGAUCAAUCUCAACAAUUCUAAGAACCUUGUAAGACUCCCGGAUCUCUCAACCGCCACAAAUCUUGAAAAGAUAAACCUUUGCUGGUGUUUUAACUUGCGUGAGCUUCCUUCAUCCCUUCAACAUCUGCAGAAGCUAACUCUUUUGGAUUUCAGCUAUUGUGAAAGUAUUAGAUCUCUGCCUAGCUUUUAUAAAGCCACAUCCCUCACCAAACUUCAUCUCAGUGGCUGCUCAAAACUGUUUAGUUUUCCAGAGGUUUCAUCGAAUGUAACAGAGCUAUGGUUAGGUGGAACUAAAAUUGAAGAAGUUCCUUCCUCCAUCGAAUGUCUCUCUAAUCUUCGUUUAUUGGACCUAUGGGGUUGCAGGAGGCUUAAAUCUCUCCCUACAAGUAUUCAUAAAUUGAAAUCUCUUGAGAAAUUCAAUCUUGGAGAUUGCUCAAGUUUGGAGACCUUCCCAGAAAUCUUGGACAUCAUGGAGAGGUUGAGGGAUCUUGAUUUAAGCGGAACAGUUUUGAAGGAAUUACCAUUCUCAAUUGACAAUCUUAUCGGUCUUAAAAUUUUGAGAUUGAACAACUGUGAAAACCUUGUUUGCCUUCCUGAUAACUUUUAUAAAUUGAAAUCUCUUUUGCAUCUUAGUCUCUGUGGUAGUUCAAAUCAAGUCGUAAAAAACUUGUUUACUGCCAUUGGACAUCUCCCUGGGUUAUCCUCGUUAAAGAAGUUAGAUUUAUCUGAAAGCAAUCUUGAGAACUUGCCCGCAACCAUCAAACAAUUUCAUUUGUUGGAAGAGUUAAUCUUGAGGAAAUGCAAGAGACUGAAAUCAUUACCAGAGCUUCCACCAAGCCUCGUAUAUUUAGAUGCACAUGACUGUACUUCAUUAGAGGAUGUCUCAAGCAUUAAGAAGCUUUUUGAGCAAGAACUGUUUUGUGAGGAUGGAUCAAAUCGUUUCUUGCAGUUGAAAUUUAGCAACUGCUUCAAACUGGGUGAGAAAGUUGUGGGGAAUGAUAUAGAUGCAUAUGACAGCACUUCAGUACAGGAAGUCUCAAGCUUUAAGAAUCUUUUGAAGCAAGUAGUGUUUAGUAAAUCCUUGGGUUGGCUAUUUACCAACUAUUUCCAACUGGAUCAGAAAGCUGUGAGAAGUCCUGAAACCCCAAAGUUGGAGAUGCCAUUUGAGCAUAUGGUCACUGCACUAACAGAUCAUCAUCAGGUCAGUUUCUUCUUCUCUAUAUAUCUUCAAUGUGGUAGAUAGCUAUGUUCUGAAUAAUCAAUCAUGUUUCUAAUAAUUGUAAUCAAACAGGCAUCCCCAAAAAGCAAAAAAAGAGCUUGCAUUAUUACAUGCGUCCCUGGAAGUGGAAUCCCGGAAUGGUUUGAUUUCAAAAGCUUAGGAUCUUCCAUAAACAUCCAAUUGCCUUCAGAGCGGUGGUCUAAUAAUAGCUGGAUAAACUUUCCAUGUUUCGUUGCUUCCGUUGCUGUUUCUUUCCUAGACUCUUAUGAAGGUAAGGGGUUUCGCAUUACGUCUGAAUGUCAUCUAAAAUCCUGUAAUGGCGACAAUCAUGACCUUAGCUCUUCUUACUCCUUUUCGUUUGGAAGCCGAUUGAGAGAUCACGUGUUCCUCGUAUAUGAUGGUUUCGGUGUUAGGGAGUUCGUUAAAAGUGAGGCAUCAAACAAUCGUAUUUACAAUGUGGCUUCCUUUCAUUUCUACAUUGAUGAGUGGAAUUCGUCCAAAUGCAAGGUGAAGGAGUGCGGAAUUCAUCUAUUAUUUCCAAAUUAAGGAUUCAAUGAUGCUUCAUCUCAGCUAUACUGAAUUUCAGAGGCUAAAUAUGUUUACAAAAUAUUUAACAUCACACAUUUUAUCAUUGGUUUUAUUUAUAAUUGUAAGUGGUUUUUAUUAAUGUUUAUUUUUAGCUCAAAAUUUAUAUAUAUAUUUUUCAUUUCUUAUUUUUUAAACACAAUUAAAAAUUUAAUGCAUGUGUAAAUUGAUUUAAAUAUAAAUAGGCUUAAAUACUCAUUUAUCCCUUGAAUUUGUCACUUCUUCACAAGUUGAUAUUUAUGGUUUUUUCUCCCAAUUUAUUAGUACUGAAAUUUCAUUAUGUUGACGGUUUUGGUUUUUUUUUUAUAAUGGUGUUAAGUUCGAGACAUGUAACAUUCUUAGACUGUAUCACGUCAUAAAAAUAUAAAAUUUAAAAAAAUAAAAAAAUUAAAAGGAAUACUUAAAAUUUUUUUUUAAUUUUUUUAUUGGAAUGAAGUUGGACUUAGAGUUGUCCAAAUUAAUUUGUUUCAAAGCUUAAUUUAAAAACAAAUUUCAAACUUUAAAUUUUAAAAAUUUUAUAAAUAUGUAAAAUAUUAUUAAAAUAUAAAAAUGUAUUAAAUAAAAUUUAAAAAGUUCAAAAAAUUUUAAAAUUUUAUUUAAAAUGAUAUCGAAAUACAAUAAUGGUAUCGAUAAAUUCGUAUGGGUAUCGAUAUUUUUUAGAAAAUAUGAAUACUUUUGUUUUGGGAGCAGUUUUCAAAAUGAUUAAAAUUGUUUUAAUCAAAUUUAAGAGUUUAAAAACGAGUUUUGAAUCUUGUCAAAAUUUUCUGAAUGUUCAAAGCAUUUUCAAAGAGUUUGGAAGUCUUGAAAUGAUAUUUAUGCUUUUAGCUUAAUAAAUUCUUUGUUCAAAAACAAAUUUCAUUCAAAAAUAUUUUUAUUUGUUAUAUCAAAAUAAGUUAUCAAAUAAAAUUAGUUUAACAAUCUCCCCCUUCUUGAUAUAACAAAACAUUUUGGUAAAUUUGUUUUUAAAUUUGUUACUCCCUUUCUAAAGUUCAAAUUGAAUAAAUGACUUUUGUUUUUAUAAUUUUUUUAAAUAAUAAUUUUUAUAAAAUUUGGAAACAAAGAUUUAAGAGAAAGUCUGAGCACUUGAUGUUAGCAUUAAAAGAUUAGUCAUAAGCAUAACCAACCAAAAUACUAAAAAUUUACAUUUCCUUCUCUUCUUCCCUUUUUGUUAUAUAAAAAAAUCUAACAAAAAAAAAUUGAAGAGAAACUUAGUUAAUUCAAUAAUGGAAAUUGAGAAAGGUGAAAGAAAUAACUAACAUACACAUACCAAAAUAAACAUUAAGUUCUAGAGAUAGGAAAAUGUGCAAUGUAAAUAAGUGAAAUGCAUGAGAAAAGAAAAUGCAUCCUAAUCUUCUUGAGGUGGAGGAGGAGGAGGAAAUUGAGACAUAAGAAAAGCAAGACAACCUAUCAUCUACACUGGUGUGAAAACCUCUAAAUUCCUCACUUAAGGAAGUAAUAACACCAAAAAUGAUUGCAGACAUGUCGUCGGAGUGAGUCGAAGCAGAAGGUUGAACAGAUGAAGAGGUCGGUGGAAGGGCCUGCUCGACCAGAGGAAUAUCACCAUGAGCUUCUUCAAAAUCUUCAUUGUCAAUAUCUAGAGGAUUAUGAUUGUCAUCCUUAACCCAAGUUUCGGUAAUAGAGUCUAAUUUAAAACUAGCUCGAUGAAGAACAUGAAAACUAAUGUGUUGAAAUUUAACGACCAUAGAAGGAUCAACAUAGGUUGAGAUGUUUAGGCAUGUAAAAAUGCAUGACAAGAAUGUGCCAAAGGGCAAGGUGAGAGUGCUAGUAAGCUCCUUGCCAAUUCGCUUGGUAAUAUCAUUGAAUAAAACUAAGGCAAAAUCAGGAUGCCUAUUGCUAUGAAAACAAUCUAUUCACCAAUAGUCAAUAGAUCAAAGAAUAACAUGUUUUGAAUAAGGGUACAAAAUCUAAGUGAUAAUAAAAUGCAAAACACGAUUAUGGACAUUACGCUCGAAAAAUAUGAACGACGAACGUUCAAAACCGGAUUAUAAGUACCGUUCUCAUUUGAAGUGUUAAUUUGAGUGUUGAAAGCCACAAAAAGAUAACACGUUUUGUUUCAAUUUCAUCUAUUAAUUGAAUAAAAACCCAUAAAAGAUGACAAGUAGCCUAGUAAACACACAAUGCGCGUUUGCUUUUGUGUUUUCAUGAUCCAGCGGACAAAGAGCAAUUAUUUGAAAUUAUUUUUUGGAUUCGAUUUUAGUUUUCUACAUUAAAAAUAAAAAUAAAAACCUAUAAUAUUUGUGGUUAAUGUACUAUAUACGCAAUCAAAUAUAAGCGUAGUUGACAUAAAUUUUAUGGCACACAUCCACAAUAAAAUUUAAGUCAAGAAAAAUUUUUAGUAUUAAAGGAUUUUUACAAGAAAAUAUCUAUUUAAAGAUUUAAUUAAUUGCUUAAAUUCAAUUAAAUUUUGAACUAUUGUUUCCGGGAAAAUUAGAAUGAUUUUAGAUAUAGCUAUAAGAAAAAAACAAAUAUAUAUAAUAAUCUUAUUGAUUUAUAUAAAUAUUGCGUAUUUAAUAAAUAAAAAUAAUAUAAUAUUAAAAAAAUUUAUUAUGAAAUAAACCAAACCAUUAAUCAAAAAGUUCUUUUUAAAGGUAUAACUAAAAUUUUUUUUGAAAAAUAAUAUAAUAAAUUCAUGGUAUUUAAAAUUUUUGAAAAAAAUCGAGGGAUCAAUAUCCGCUUAAGUUUAAAAGUUAAAACAAUAUAUAAUUGAUUUUCAAAGAUUAUAUACCUAACUUUCUAAAGUUAUAUAAUUGUCAUUAAAGUUAUCAAACUGUUACAUUUUUUUCACUCAUAUGUUAACUUCUUUCAAGAGGGUGGUGCGGCAUGUUAAUUUAAAGGGUUAAUAACCAAAAUAGAUCCAAAACUAUAACUAAAAUAUCAAUUUGAAUCUUUAAAAAUUUUUCUUAAUAAAAUUUUAAUUUUUUUUUGUAAAAUUUAAGAAAUAUUGAUUUGAAUCCCUGAACUGAAUUCAUAUUUAAGACUUAUAUAUUGAGAAAAGAUUUAGAAGUAUCAAAUUGAUAUUUUAAAUGUAGCUCUCGAUUAGUUGGAGGCUCUUAAAGUGGUACAAUUAAUCUGAAGGUUUUAGGUCCCACACGCUUUACCAGUUGAUGUAUGGCUAUAGCCUAUAAGUUUGAAAAUUAUCCGGUUGGGAUUCACAAGUCACUCGGUAAUUGCAUCUCCUUUUCUUUAAAUAUAUGCAUAUAUAGAUUUGGAAGCAGAGAGAUUAAACAGACUUUUGUUUCAAGCAGUGAUUCAUUUAUGCUACCCAGAUUCGAGUUGAGGGGCAGAUACUUGAUAUGAAAGACUUUAACUUUUCCCUUUUUAAUUUUUUUUUUUUUGCCAUAAUUUUGUAGGCAUAGAGAAAAAAUAAGAAGAAUCUGUUCUUGAACAAUGUUAUUAUUUGUUGCGUUUUCUAUACCUUGAUACCAUUCUUUUUAACUCAAAGUUCAUGACACCUGCAUACCAUUCUCUCAUGUAUAAAAUCUAUUGAUAUAUUUAUUUUCAAAGAAAAAAGUUAUAAUUUGAGGAUUUUGAAAGGGGUGUAGAUAGUGAAAUUUGAAUUCUACAUCUGUCUUUGAAUGUCUUCUUUUUAUAACUCACCCUAUAAAUCAAUUGAGUUAACUUUAUCAUUUUUAUUUAUUUAUUUCUCUUUCCUUUUUAUUUCUCCUGUAAUUUGUUUCUUCAUUUAAUAUAUAGGCCUGACUCAACUCUGGUAGAUAAAAUUGUCGAAGAUAUAGUGAAUAAAUUGAAUUGUGGAACCUCAAGCCCUAAUUUAAAGGGUUUAGUUGGAAUUGAAAGGCGGAUGCGGGAAGUUUUGUCUUUAUUUUAAGACGGAUUCCCAGAUUUUCGAAUGCUAGGCAUUUGGGGUAUGGGAGGUAUAGGCAAAACUACACUUACCGACGCCAUUUAUCACCAUGUUUCAAAUGGUUUCCAAAGCUACUCCUUUCUUCCAAACGUGAGAGAACAUGAUGAACGAGGAGAAUUGUUCAACUUGCGUCAGAAAUUUCAUUCAACCAUAUUAGGAGAUGAAAAUUUAUAUAUCUCAACGCCCACAAUCGGAUCAGACUUUCUUAAGGACAGGCUAUCCAAUAAGAAGGUUCUGAUAGUUUGUGAUGAUGUGUCAAAGUUAAGCCAACUCGAGUUUUUAUUCGGAGGAAUCGAUCGGUUUGGCCCUGGAAGUCGAGUCAUUGUUACAACUAGGGAUAAACAAGUGCUUAUCCAGUGUGGCAUGGAUCUGGAUCGCAUUUAUAAAGUAAAGAAAUUAAAUUAUUAUGAAUCUGUUCAGCUAUUUUGUCAACGUGCCUUCAAAAGCAGUCAUCCUAUAGAAUAUUAGUUGGAGCUAUCAAAGAUGGUUUUAAGUGUUGCUAAUGGAAACCCUUUAGCUAUUAGACUUAUCGGAUCCUCUCUUUAUGGCAAGACCAAAAGCUACCAGGAAAGUGAAGUAAAGAAAUUAAAUAAAGUUCCUAAGCAGGACAUUCAAGAAGUGUUGAAAUGGAGUUUUGAUGGACUAGAUUGUGAAGAGAAAGAAAUGUUUCUUGACAUUGCUUGUUUCUUUAAAGGGGAGAAUCGAGACUUUGUAACAAGGAUUAUGGAUGCUUGUUAUGACUCUGCACAUUCGGGAAUUGAGAAUCUCAUUGAUAAAUCUCUUCUAUCUGUUUCACAAAACCUGAUAGCAAUGCAUGAUUUAUUGCAACAGAUGGGUUGGAAUAUUGUACACAAGGAAGCACCUUUAAAGCCUGAAAAACGCAGUAGGCUGUGGAUUCCUGAGGACAGCUAUAAUGUGCUAUCAGAAAACAAUGUAAGGACCCUGUUCAUUUCCUUCACUUAUGUUACCAUCACUCUUCAUUUUCUUCGGACAUAUCCAUGUCCGACAGUCAUGUUUGGUUCUUAUUCGAACACAUAUUUGUAUAAAAUACAUACAUGUAUAUGAUAAUUAUCUUGAGUUCAUAUUUUGCCUAUAUCUUGACUCCAUAUACUGCUCUUGGGUUUAGGGAGCGGAAAGUCUCACAGGCAUUGUACUUGAUAUGUCCAAAACUUCCAAAGUUGGAAUUGGAAACGACAGCCUUGAUGAAGAUGCGAAAGCUUAGAAUUCUCAAAUUCUAUCAUUCUUGUGGAAGAAUCUUACUUUGUAAAGGGCUUUUAUCAUUUCCUAAGGAACUAAGGUACCUUUACUGGGAGGGAUACCCUUUGAGAUCUUUGCCCACCAAGUUUGAUCUAAGGUACCUAGUUGAACUUGAUAUGAGGGCGAGCCAUCUUGAACAACUCUGGGAGGGAAAACAGG
rnacentral:lncRNA from 1 species